rnacentral:lncRNA from 1 species
CGAUCCUAUUUUGCGUCCAUUUUCUUUCUCAAGUUUGCGGUAGAAGCUUGGCAGCAACUUGAAAACCGAAUUGAAAUCAUUUUGGAAAAGAUCAUUCAGAAAAAUCUGAAUGGUGGGACGUUCUAAUUCAUUCUUCUCUUCCUGGCCAACUUUGUCAAUACUUUGCACAAUGUCCCGAACUGUUAAAAGUGUGUUUGGUCCAGAAGCGCAUCCCAAAUCCGCAACUUUAAUGCAGUUGUUGAUGUUGGGCAAGUUGGCCCGCAACAAUUCUCGUAUGCAUUGUUCAAGGACAGGUUUCACCUUGGCAAGAGCCAGCUGUUACACAUACCAGUCCAAAAUACAAAUGUGAAGGGGGGAAAAAAGACAUACUAAGUUAGAGAUCGACGUAUCAUAGCAUGAUUUACCACUACUCUGUGUGUGUGUGUUAAAGAGAGAUAGAGAGACAGACAGACAUUGUAGGAUGAAUUCUUGGCGUAGCUUGUAUCGCCUUCACCUCCAUUCAUAUGCAGGACUGCUUGGAGCUCCAUUCAUAUGCAGGACAAUCGAAUUGCGACUGCUAAAGAAGGUGUCUGUUAAUGAUUAAUUGUGCAAAAUGUCGGGCUUAAAUAGCGAAAAUUUCAUAGAUGCGUAUGCGAACCAGCUACCUACGUGCGUAGAAAAGUCUGUCAAUUGGUCAGAAAGAAAGCGCACAGCCAAUGGGAACCAGACACGAAUGAUAAAAUCAGAAGUUGAGAUUUGGGGAUAAAAUAUCUUAUCUUAUAGGGUUAAAUGCAAAAAACCCCACAAACUAUAUACCCAAUUGCAGUUUACCCCCUAAACUAUAAUAAUAAACAUUUUGUCCCCUUGAAUGAUAUGUUUGGACAAAUCUACCCCUUUUAUUUUAAGCAUUGUUAUUUUUCUUUUUUCCCUAUCAUUUUCUUUUUAAAUUCUUCCUUUUUUUUCUUUAAACAUUGUUUAAAUAAGUAGACUAGAUUAGUCAAAAUUUGUUUAUUUCUUAAUUUCGUAUGUCAAUAUUUUAUAAAAAAAAAUCUAUGGAAUACAAGAUUUUUUUUCCAAAUGUUGGAGUCAAUGUCAUUUAAGAAAUUGAACUUUUCAAAUAUAUAAUAACAAAAUAGAGAAAUUGAUUAAUCAAUUAUUAGUAGUAUCAAUAACAAAAAAAAUGAACUACUAUUGUUGUUUAUUCUUAUUUUUUAUUUCACUACAAAUAACAAUUGCUAACUUUUCUUUUUUAUGUGACAUAUAAUAUGUUACUUUUAUUAUAAGUAGUUGAGUAACUGUGAACUCUUAAUUAGUUCAUGGGUACUUAAAUUGUUGAAUUACUAGAUUAAUACACUUUACAAUAUAAGCUACAUAUAUUUUGUAAUAACAAAGAGUUUAUGUCAAAUUAUUAAGAAUAAAUUUAACAAAUAAACAAAUUAAAAAAUAGUUUAAAAAAUAUUAAAAUUUUUUAUGUAAGUCUUUUCACAUCGGAGAAAGACGUUGGCUAGUUCCACGAGAGAAGGAGAAAAUAAAAGGAAAAAAUGAAAAAAGCUAAUAGAGAAAAGAAAAGAAAGGAUUUAAGACAGUAGGGGUAAUGUUGUCCAAACAUAUCAUUCAAGGGGACAAAUUGCCUAUUAUUAUAGUUUAGGGGGUAAACUGCAACUGGGUAUAUAGUUUGUGAGGGUUUUUUGUAUUUAACCCUAUCUUAUAUAGAAAAAGUCAAGACUUCUACUCUCAUAUUGAGCCACGUGGCCGCAUUUGGGAAGGGAGUCUACUGUAGUAUAUUGAUAAGUGUAUGUUUUGAGUGUUUUAAAUGUGUUUUAUUAAUUAGUUUUGGUGUAUUUUAAUUAAUUUUAUAGCUAAUUAACUAAGUUUCUAGUGAAAAUAUACAUUUUGUGGUUUAAGUAUCAAAAAUUGCAUUUCUAUAGAUUUUAAUAGUGAAAAUUUCAUAUUUUUGUAGGUUAAAUUAUUCAAUCAUCAAUUGGAGUGACUUGAGAAGAUAUUUGGAUGAUUUGAAAUGAUUUAAAGAAAACAUGAACUAUCAAAUGUUCAAAAGAGGAAAUUCAAUCAAGAAUAAAAGAAAGGGAGUUUUCCAACUUUGAUACCUUGUGGUCUUUCAGCUAUAUCUUGAGUUACAAGCAUUGAAUUGAGGUGAUUCUUAAACCAUUUUAACACUAAGAGAUAGCUGCAUAUUUGAUAGGGAUAAUUUCAUAUACCUCCCCUUAGGUUUCUGACAGUUUCACUCCCCUCCCCUGUGGUUUCAGAAAUACCACAAACCUCCCCUAAAACUAAAUAGGCAAUGUCAAAAUAGACCCAAUUUAAAAAUACAAACAAUAAAAAAUCAGUAGCUAGAGAGAGAAACAAGUGUAUGCCACAAACGCCCUCAUUAUCUUGCAUUAAUGAGCUAAUCUCAUGUGAAGAAAAAACAAGGAAUUUAAGAAGAAUAAAACUUGAGGGGGUGUAAGUGAGACCAAUGCAUUCAUUAAGGUUUGAACGUCAAUAGUGAACAAAAUGGAAGGCAACGGCUCUUUCUGGCAGUCAGUUCUAAUGUCCAUAUGCAACGCCCAAUUCAGAAGGCUAUUUAUAAGAGUAAGGGACUGCUUGUUUUACAGAUUGAAAUCGGAAAUGGAAAUGGAAUCAUAGACUCCGGUUUUGGAAUUAAACUUUUCAUUCCAAUAUCUAACUUGGUUCACAUAUUGGAAUUAGCAUCAUUCCAAUUCCUGAUACUUGGUUUGAUGAGUGUUUCGGAAUUAAAUGUAAUUAAAUUUCAAAUUUACCCCUGAUAUAACAAUUCUUCUAAAACAAAAGAAUUACACAUACGACAAAUUAACAUCUCCAUAAUUGUAACUACAAUAGUUAUUAACUUUUUGAUAAAACAUAAGAAAAUCAUAAACCAUAAAAAAAAUUAAUACCAAAAAAUAAAUAUAGUGGCUGCAUUAACAAGGAGUAAAUUCCCAAAACGAAGGAGUUUUUAAACUAACUUCUCAAAGGGUGAUGAUUUUUGAAUCUCUUUCCACAGGGUGAAAAAUACAUCCAAGGAAUGCAUUCUUCCAAAUAAAAACGCAACUUUCAAAUACAUUAUUUUAAUUUUCAUAAAUUUAUUUAAAUAUGAAAAAUUGGUUAAAUAGCGCAUAAUAUACCAACUUUUUAUGAGAAAUUGACAGGUUUUGUAGUAUGUUUUGUAUCAGCUCUUUAUGGGAGACAUGCUAGUUCUCUAUGGGAAAAAUUGGUUAAAUAGCGCUCAAAGGAAAACUAUUAUGCUUUGUAUUUAACAUAAAUUAAAUAUGUGAAAGUUAAAAAUAAAAAAAGAAAUUGCUCAUAACAUACCAGCUCUUUAUAGGAAACUGGCAGGUUUUAUAGUAUGUUUUGUACCAACUCUUUAUGGGAAACAUACCAGCUCUUUAUGGGAAAAAUUGGUUAAAUAGUGCCCAAAGGAAAACUAAUAUGUUUUGUAUUUAACAUAAAUUAAAUAUGUGAAAGUUAAAAAAAAAAAAAAGAAAUUGCCCAUAACAUACCAGCUCUUUAUGAGAAAUUGGCAGGUUUUGUAUUUAAUGAACUAUUUAAUCAAUUUUUCAUAUUUAAACAAACUUACGAAAAUUAAAAUAACGUAUUUGAAAAUUGCAUUCAUAUUUAAACAAAUUUACGAAGGCCCUUUUCUAUAUUGGUUGUUAGGACUCUAAUUUUUCGUUAAUUACAUUAAUUGUGUUUAUAACUAACUUAACUAAAUUUUUCCAGAUAAUCACGAAAUAUUAGCAAACUUGUGAGGGUAUUUAAGUCUUUGUGGCACCAAUGAUGUAAGAAAUGGAACCUCACAAUCUGACAAGGGAGGUUUGUGGUAUUUCUGAAACCACAGGGGAGGGGAGUGAAACUGUCAGAAACCUCAGGGGAGGUAUCUGAAAUUAUCCCUAUUUGAUAUGAAGACUUGAAAUCUAGUUUAGUCGUUUUCUUUGUCGAAAUACAGAAGUGCAUUUUUAUUGUCAAAAACUAAAACAGAGUUCUGACUAGUCGAGAAUAUUUUGGUUAUUUCUUGGUCCACAGAUCUCCAAAUUAGAUGAUUCUUGAAGCAUUGAAAAUGGGCUACAACUUUCAUGCUUUUUACAAGAGUUAGUUCAUCCUCCAUCAUCAAGAAAAUACCAGUUGACGUUGGACCAAAAACAGAGCAAAGAGAAGACUUGACCAGAAAUGAGCAAACUUCAAAAAGAGAAAAACGUGGGUAUAAUAUGCGACCUUAGGUCAUGUUUUCGAGGUCGCGUAAUCUUCAUUUGUGGCUGCAGUUUGCUCUGCAACUUUUGCUUUGUUCACACAAGCUUUUUGACUACUUUUUCAGCAAGAAUUUCGACUAGGUAUGAGCUAACAAGUAUGGAGACAUCAAGAAACAACCUUUUGAUGAUUCCAAAAGCCAACUAGCACCAACCUUAACAUGAUUACUUGGAGUUUUAAUCCUCUAUAAAUAGAGGCCUUUGGGAAACAUUUUCCCAACUUUAGAAAGGCUAGAGAAACUCCACAAAAAUGUAGUCUUCACUAGAAUUUCUUUAGUUCAUUAAUUAGAUUAGUAUAGUAUAGUUAGUGUAACUUAUCCUUCUUGUAUUUGUAACUAAACUUGGAUGAAGAUUAAGGAGCAAAAUGAAGAGUUUGAUCUCAUGUGACAAGGGUGAUAUCUCUUAUACUAUUUUUUCUCUUGUAUUUGAUUUCAUAUUUAGUUAUUAUACAAGUUUGGAUUUGUGUUUAAAUAUGUAUUUUUAAAGUUUAUACCUAGAGUUAUGGAUGAACUUGCUAUAUCUUAUUAGUGAUAUUUACUUGGUUAUUUGAUGAUAUUAUUUUGAGCAAAUUAUUUAUUAGUUUUACUUUUCUAAUCAUGAUUAACCAACCAUUAAUUAUGAUAAUAUUAACGUGUUAAAUUUGCAAUGAGAAUUGGGAUUAACAAUAGUUCAACGAAGUGAUAAACUUAGGGAAUACACUCACAAGAGUAGAGGUACACUUAUGUGGAUUUACUGACUUGUUUCAUGUAAUUUCAUAGAAGAAAUAAGUUUGUAAUUAAUUUCAUAACCAUGAGAGUAGGUAUGGUUUAAUUACAAGUAUAGUUGAUUCAUUACGAGAGUAGAUUUCAUAUACAUUAAGAAAUUAUGCCAUAACUAGCCAAGAUAAUAACAUUCACUUAAUCGAUAAUUUCAUUAGCGAGAGUAGUUAGGAAUUUCAUACCUCUAGAAGUUUUAUAUUUUUAUUUUUAUUACGUUUACUUCAUGUUUGUAGUGUAGCUUUAAUCUUUUGCAAUUUGUGGUAAUCUAAAUAAUAAAGGAGUUUGAAAGCUAUCGGUAAUUGACAAUUUUCUCUGUAGGUUUGACCCUUAAUACUCUAUGCUCAAUCACGCAUAGUAUACUUGUGAAAAAUGGCAUAUGGGGUAUUUUGAAUUUUAUAAAUAUGAAACUUGACUAUGGAUGACCUAAUUGUUAUAUACAUAUCCCGUGCCCGUCAAAUUUUUAAUGCCGUUGCCGGGGAAGAUUUUGCUCAAUAUUGGCGCUAAGAAUAACUUUAUUAAUUUAGACAUUUUUUCUUGGUUUUCUUGUUUUUAUUGUGUUUAUUGUCCUUUUGUUAUGUUUAGUGUCUUGUUGUAUCUUUUAUUUUAUGUUUAGUGUCAUGUUUUUGUAUGUGUCGAGUCAUCUAUUCUUCUUGACUAAACUUGUUUUUGAAUUACUUUGAAAGUAUGUUUAGGGUUUUAAGGAGAGUAGAAAACAUGAGGAGACAAUGCUUGAGAAGUGAAAGAUCGGCAAUGGAUUAUUAUCAAGUACAAAGCACCUUGAAUAGAGGUAACCAAGAUGUUACCGAAGGUAUAUCAUUCAAAAAUGGUUUAAAGAGUUUAAAGGCUAAACUUGAUAUUAUAAUAUUAAAAGUUCAAUUGGACACCAUUACAAACAUGCUUGAGCAAAAGAGGAAUGUUAAUACUUUUAAUUCUUAUCAUGUGAUUUGUAACUUGUGUGGAGAUUAUCAUGCUACUCAUACAUGUAGGCAAGCACACAAUGUGGAUUAUUAUGAUGAAUUUGGGUAUUACAAUCCUUAUUUUGAUCAAUAUGGUCAUAACUGGGGGAAUUCUUAUACUUAUGAUUGGGAUAAUCAAUGUAUUUAUAGUGAUUCUCAAUGUUAUCAUGAUUACCCACCCGAGCGUGUCCAAUAUGAAUCUAAACUAUUUUGGGAAUUAGCCAUAGAAAAGCUAGCUAAUGCAACCUCAGAUCGUUUUGAUAGGGUUGACCAAAGAUUUGAUGAAUUAACUUCUCAUUUUGGUAGAUUACAAGAUCAAUUACACGUUUUGUGUGAAGUUAUUUUUUCUAAUCAUGUGCAAGAUGACCCUAACAUGAAUGAUGGAAAUGUUGUAUGUCGAAAUGGAUUGCAUUUUGAUGGAAAUGAUGCAUUUAAUAUACGUUUCAAUGAGAAAUUGUCCAUUUCACAAAAUCAUAUCCUUGGAACUAACUUUAAAGCUCAAGAGAUGAGCAUCAAUGACUCAUUUUUCAUCUCUCUUGAGGAAUGUGUUGAAAACAUAGGUUCUAAAUAUAUCGUCACCCAAGAAAGGCAAGCAGAUGUUCCUUUGGUGAGCACUCAAGUGACGCACAUUCAAGGUAUUAUUUAUCCAUCGCUUGAGAUAUGUAAGCCUCUUCCACCUCUCAUACUAUUAGAACAUGUGGAUUUUGAUAUCAAGCCACCAUUUAUUGAUCCACCAUGUCUUCUAAUGAUGAAUUAUUCAUUGACAAAAUCUCGAAAAAUGAAAUUAUAUAGUCGAGCCAAAGACUAUAAACAAAAGCGCUAGUUGAGAGGUAACCCAAUAUUUUGAUGACUUAUGUUAAUUCAGUGUGAUUUUAUGUUUAAAUUAUGCAUUUAAUGUAUUGUUUUUCUUUUGUAGGUUUGGGAAAUAGAAGUAAAAGUGAUCAAAUGAGAUGAAAAAGGCGAAAUUUGAUUGAAAAACUCCACCCCUCGAUUUGAGUAUUUAAUGUUUUUGAUUCGUUAAAGAGAGGUAAAAUACAUAUUUUGAUCAUUUUACAUAGCGUGCGUUGAUUAUUUUAUCGAAAGAAUGAUCUAGUGUGCAUUUUAAGCAAUAGGGGUACCAUGUGUAAUUUUAAAAAAUUGAAUCUUCUGUAGAAAAAUUGCAGAAAAAAACGCAGCAUCAUGGAAAACGCGACCUUAGGUCACGUUUUCUUGAGGUCGCCUACUCUAUUCUACAAUUUUUCAACAGAAUACACGAGUACAGAAAACAUGACCUAAGGUCACGUUUUCAAAUGUAAGAUAGAAAACGCGAGCCUGAAAACACAAGCUCAAGCUCGCAUUUUCUACUCGCAUUUUUUAAGUUCUUUUAAGAAACAAAAAUGCAGGCUGCCUUAUUCUUCUUUUCUUCUUCUCCUCCUCACAUUUUCUCACACAUACUAACACACAAUUCACCAUUUUCCUCUUUUACUCAAUUUCCUUGUAAGAAAUCAUCAACAAAAUAUUAUUUGACCUUCAUAGAUCCUUUUUAACUAAUUAGAAUUCAGGAAAAAGAUCUCAAAAUUUGGUUGAAGGUUAGGGUUCAUAAUUUCUAAUUCCAUCAAUUGAAGGUCAAUUGGAGUGAUUUUCAUAGGACUUUUUGUAUCAUUUGUAUCACCAAACAUCACUCUACCAAUUUGAGAUAAAUUUCUUGAACUUAAUUUGGUAUUUUAAAAUUCACCAUUUGCAUAUCUUUUGAGUUUAUUGAAACACUUUGAAUGGCGAAUUUGUGAUGUUAUUUGUUGGUGUAUAUAAGUUCCAUUAUGCUUAUGUAACAUCUUUAAGCAUAUUUAGAUGAUCAAAUGUGGGAAUGUGAUGAUCUAUGCAAUGUUUCAAUUCAUGUAUAUUCCUAUUUUAUGAUCAAUGUAAUAAUUGGUCUUAGAAUAUUGUUAAGCAUAAUUGGAUAGUUCAAAUUGCUAAAAUGUGACUUAUUCAUGAUGCUUACAUGUCUACAUUCAUUACAUGGUGACAUUUUAGCAAAUUUGAAUUUGUAAACUUUAGAGAGUGGCUAGUUUAUCUAGUUAAAGGAAAAUGAUACAUUUAAAUGGAAAUUUAUUGCUUAAUUUUCAUAUAAAACAUCAUUGGAUGAAAAAUUUUGAAUAUGUGAAGAAUUUAGCAAUUUGUAGAAUUUUAGGAGUAAAAAAUGUGUGAAGUGAAGUGAAAUGUUUCAUUGUACCUUGAGUAGUUUCUUAUAUAUUUUAUAUGGGCACAUCACCACGACAAAGGCGUAGAAGUUACGGAUCGCCAUUUUGUGUUUAUUAAUACGUUUGUUAUCACUUUUGUUUCUCAUUUUUCAAUUCUUAGGUUUAAUUACUAAUGGUUAUCCAAUGGAACUAAUAAAGUUUUGGAAAUAAACGGACAAUGGUUUGUGACACUUCAUGACGCUUCAAUUAUAUCAAUAAGGGAGUAUUCCUUUUUUUUUAUUUCCCUUCUUACACAUUGAAAACAAUGUAUAUGUUAAGUGUUGGGGGGGAGGGAAUUGAGAUUAUAUGCAUCGUAUGUGAUUGAUUUGUUAGUUGCAAAUAUUGGACUUGUGCUUGAAAAUGUUAUCGGGUUUAAAAAUUUUUCAAAAUUGGGUUUGUUGGCAGGGAGUUUAGUCCAUUUAUAAGAUGAGACUCUCACAAAAUUUUUUCAAAAUCUUGUCUAAAAUUGUAAAAUUGUCCCAAAAGAUUUCAAAAUUUUUCAAUUUUAUCCAAGGGCAACAAGUUUCAUACCUUUAGUAAUUCAAAUUCCUUCUACUUUUAAGAUAAAUAUAUGUAACUUGACAACUUCUUUUCUCAUUUAACUUGAAAAUGACUAUUAUGUGAUUAUAAUUUGCGCAUUUAUAGGAAAGUAUCUUGAAAAAUGGAGAAAAUUAUGCCUAAAUUUUACAAAUUUGAUGAAAUUUCUUCUCUUUACUUAAUUUUACAUAGUUAAGUGAAAAUAUGGUCAAUAAGUAUAAUAUUCUUCUCAUGAUUAUUCUUUUGAGAGAAUGUUAUUAUUUUUGCUUUUGAAGAAAAAAAAGAGAGAAAAAAGGAAAAAAAAAGAAUAAAAGGAGAAUAAAAGUUGUUCUACUUUAAUGGUUCUUGUACUUAGUAAUCGGGAGUGUUUAUAUACAAAUAUUGAUUUUCGCGUAAAAGGGAACUAGAAUUAAGAGUAUGCAAGGCAACUUGAGGAUAUGAAGUGUUGAGUAACUGGCGAUUUUCAUCUAAAAAUGUCGAUUUUUGUGACAAAAGAUACUUUCACAACUUGAAUAAUAUUAGAUAUAUUAUAUGAAUAAAUCCUUUUUUGCAUCUGAAAAAGGUGAUGAUCAUGGGUUUAGAAAGCAUUUUUAUUCACCAUAUGACUCGCUUGUGAAAUUGGAAAAGGAUAAGAAAUUGACUUGAAUUAGUUACAAUUAUGGCAUAAUUAGCUCUCCUUUACUUGAUAUUAUGAGUACUUGAACUUGAUUGAAUGAUUGCAUUAUGGUUAUUUACCUUGUUUUGAGGAAAUGAAGUUGAACUGUGUACAUAUGUUUAAUUCCAAAGUUUUGGAUGAUUGUGGUUAGUAAUUCUUAAUUGCUUGAGAACAAGUAAUGGUUCAAGUAUGGGGGAGUUUGAUAAGUGUGUAUUUUGAGUGUUUUAAGUGUAUUUUAUUAACUAGUUUUGGUGUGUUUUAAUUAGUUUUAUAACUAAUUGACUAAGUUUCUAGUGAAAAUAUACAUUUUGUGGUUUAAGUAUCAAAAAUUACAUUUCUAUGAAUUUUAAUGGUAAAAACUUCAUAUUUUUCUAGGUUCAAUGAUUCAAUCAUCAAUUGAAGUGACUUGAAAAGAUAUUUGAAUGAUUGUUGAUGAUUUGAAGUGAUUUAAAGAAGAUAUGAAGUGCCAAAUGUUCAAAAGAGAAAAUGCAAUCAAGAAUAAAAGGAAGGGAGUUUUCUAACUUUGACACUUUGUGGUAUUUUGACUAUAUCUUGAGAUACAAGCAUUGGAUUGAGGUGAUUCUCAAACCAUUUUGAAGUUAAGACAUUUGUUGUGAAGACCUCAAAGUUCAGUUUAGUUGUUUUCCUUGUCAAAAUAUCGAAAUACAGAAGUGCAUUUUCAUUGUCAAAAGCUAAAAUAGAGUUCUGACCAGUCAAGGAUAUUUUGGUCAUUUCUCAGUCCACAGAGCUCCAAAUUGGAUGAUUCUUAAGGAAUUGGAAAGUUAAUGCAAAGGACUACAACUUCAUGCUUUGUAUAAGAGCUAGUUCAGCCUUCAUCAUUAAGAAAAUGUCAGUUGAAGUUGGACUAAAAACAAAGCAAAGAGAAGACUUGACCAGAAAUGAUAAAACCUGCAAAAGAGCAAAAUGUGGAUACAAUACGCAACCUUAGGUUGCAUUUUCGAGGUCGCAUAUUCUUCAUUUGCAGCUGAAACUUGCUCUACAACUUGUGCUUUAUUCACACAAGAUUUUUUACUACUUUUUUUGCAAGAAUUUCUGCUGGAUAGUGCUAAUAAGUAUGGAGACAUCAAGAAGCAAUCUUUUGAUGAUUUCAAGAGCCAACUAGCACCAACCUUAACUUGAUUACUUGGAGCUUUAAUCCUUUAUAAAUAGAGGCCUUUGGGGAACAUUUUCAGAACUUUAAGAAGACUAGAGAAACUUCACAAAAAUGUAGUUUUCAGUAGAAUUUUUUUAGUUCAUUAAUUAGAUUAGUAUAGUAUAAUUAGUGUAGCUUAUCCUUCUUGUAUUUGAUCUCAUAUGACAUGGGUGAUAUCUCUUCUACUACUUUCUCUUAUAUUUGAUUUCAUGUUUAGUUAUUAUACAAGUUUGGAUUUGAGUUUCAAUGAGUUUGUUUGGACAAGCCAAAUUUGGUUUGCAAAAUUUGUUUUCACAAAUCCCAAUCACCUUUUUAUCUUCCCAAUCACCUUUUUAUCUCACAUACAUCACAUCACAAAAAGUGCUACAGUAAAUAUCUCAAAUAAAUCAUCCAAAUAAACUCUUAUCCAAACAAACUCAUUAUGUGUUUCUAAAGUUUAUACCUAGAGUUAUGGAUGAACAUGUUAUAUCCUGUUAGUGAUAUUGACUUAGGUAUUUGAUGAUAUUAUUUUAAACAAGUUAUUUAUCGCUUUUACUUUUUUAAUCAUGAUUAAUCAACCAUUAAUUGUGAUAAUUUUAAGGUGUUAAGUUUGCAAUGAGAAUUGGGAUUUAACACUAGUUCAAAAAAAUGAUAAACCCAGCGAGUAUACUCAUGAGAAUAAAGGUGCACCUAUGUGGUUUUAGUGACUUAUUUCAUGUAAUUUCAUAGAAAAAAUGUACUUUAGUUGAUUUCAUAACCACGAGAGCAGGUAUGGUUUAAUUACAAGUAUAGUUGAUUUACUACGAAAGUAGAUUUCAUAUACAUUAAGAAAUUACGCCAUAACUAACCAAGAUUAUAGUAUUCAUUUAACCGAUAAUUCAUUAGCGAGAGUAGUUAGAAAUUUCAUACCUCUAGAAGCUUUAUAUUGUUAUUGUUAUUAUGUUUAUUUCAUGUUUGUAGUGCACAUUUAAUCUUUUACAUUUGUGGUAGUCUAAAUAAUAAAGGAGUUCGAAAGCUAUCAGUAAUUAAUAAUCUUCUCUGUGAGUUCAAAGAACGGAAGUCAGGAAUUUCAAUUUUUUGUAAUGGAGUCUGGUAGGAUACUUAGAAAAGUUAAGACUUGAAGGCGGAUUUCAAAAGUGGUUUAAAUGAUCUGAUAUUGCAUUGUUGCCCCAACCCUAUCAAAACUUGCACCAGUUUAUUAUCAAUUGAGGUUCUCUUCUUCUUUUUUUUUAUUUUCCCUUUUCCCCUUUUUUGGCCUUCUAGCAUUUCAUUCAUUUUUUGAAAUUUUUAAAAUUUGGGCCAGUUUAUUUUUAACUGAGGUUUUUUUUUUCAUUUCCUUUUGUUCCUCUAUCACUUUUCACCUCUUAAGGCUUUUCUUUCCUCUCUUUUCAACGCAAACUUACUCCAGUGUGGGGUUUGCGAUCCUUAGGGGUUGCCAAAUGAAAAUAAUUUAUUCUGAAGGUUCAAAAGGGAUAACUAGGGAUAGAAGGUUUGAUUGGAAAGGAAAAAGACCUGACUUUCAUUCCAUUCUCCGUAUUAACCCUGAAAGGAAACUUUCGUUUAUCAUAUUAAAUAUUUUUCACACAUAUCCGAAUUGAUCGGUUGAGGGAAAUCUUGUCCAUCCAUUUCUACAAGAACAAGUGCUCCACCAGGCAAUACCUUUUUGACAAUAAAAGAAUCUUGUCAAUUUGGGGCAAACUCUUCUUUUGGGCUCAUCUUGCACCGACAAAAGCUACUUCAAUGCUUUGUCUCCUUCUUCGGAUAGUUGCGGUUUGAUCUUCUUGUUUUAAGCACGGGCCAUUCUCUUUUGUUAACACUAAUCAUGACAAAUGGCAUUUAGCUGUUUCUUAUCAAGUGACUACUGACUUUUAUUUCUUUAAUCUUGAUCCCAAUUCGGCUUGAGUUUCUCUUUAUACCAUUUGGGCCUCUUUGAAAUAUUUUCAAAUGUCUCUUCGCUAUUCCUCUCAUUUUGAAAUCCAAAUUUACAUUCGUGAGAUUCGAGAUUGCUGUCAUCAAAUUUCGGAACAGUGAUAGUCAAAGGGUCAGAGGAUUUUAUUGUUGGCCAUCUGAAAAAAAUGCGUAAGUAACACAGUAUAUAUAAAACUAUACAGUUUAUUGAAUUUCAAAAUAAAGUUCAAACUUAAUAGCAUGUUACUUAUUAAACAAGACGUAUCUUCAAAAAUCACUUGAUUCAAAAUUAUUUACAAAAAUAUAGUUAAACAAAAGACACACACAUGAAUGAUUUUCAUAGAUUUUAACCAAAGACAAUUCCUCAAAUUUAUAAAAACGCCCUUCAAGAGGGAGGGAUCUCACUAGUUCAGGAUUUUCAAAUUACUUCAUUGGGGACAAAUGCCUCAAAGAUGUCCUUAUGUUCGGGACAGGGUUUUGUACUUAUGCUCGGUCCUUAUUCUCCCAUUUUCCUUAGCACUAUAUCUCCUGCUUCAAUCAUAUCCUGAAUUUUAUGUUUCAAUACCCAACAAUUAUUGACGGAAUGCCCAAGAGCUCCAGAAUGAUAAGUGCAGACGGCUUGAGGGUCAUAAUUAGGGGGAACACCCCUAGGAUAGAUCUUGGGAGGCAUAACAUCAAUUUUUCCGGCAGCUUUGAAUUGUUCGUUUAAUUGAUCAAUGGGUCAGCCCAGGUUGGUGAAGGUUCGAUAUGGGGUUGGGUUUCGAGUUUCACUGUUUAGAGGAUAAGUUUGGUUAUUUGGUUGAACAGGUCUUGGAUUAUAAGGAGAGGAGGUCGAGUUUGAAAAUUGGGUAUUGGGACGAGUAGUAUAAAUGGGUUUGCAUAAUUUGGCCGAGGUCGAGGGUGAUUGAUAGUAGUAUGGUAAAUAGGGCGUGGGUUUGGAUAAUAUGGGUAGGGUGAUGAAUAUGUGGGGUAUUGCUGAAAUCUAGGUUGGGAAGAAAAGCCUUAGUCCCAGACUAAUGCGGCUUCCCCAUCUUUCUUUUUGAACUGAGGCGUCUUGCUACUGCUUCUUGCAUUUUGCAAGGCUUCUAAUUGCGAUUUCAGAGCUGACACAUUAACAAUCUUUCCCGCUCUUACAAACUCAUCAUAUUCGUUCAAUUUGUUGACAAUUUCUGCAAACAAGCAUCUAGUCAUGCAAAAAUUUCCUCAAAAGAGGACAGGUCAUGAGUUUUGAUAAAUGUUUGAACAAUUUCAUCCUCGGUUAUAGGAGGUUCCACCUUGAUAGCCAAUUUCCUCCAUCGCUUCGCAUAAGUCUUGUGAUUCUCAGAUGGUUUCCUUUUAGUGCAUUUAAGCGUGGUUCUCGUUGGAGCAAGUUCACAAUUGUACUCGUAUUGUCUCACAAAAGCAGUUGACAAAUCCAACCAUGUUCUCAUUUCUUCAGGCUUUAAAUUGGAAUACCAAUCCAGGACAUCGCCUUCCAAGGUCUCCGGGAAUAAACGUAUUGGCAAAUUUUCAUCAUAUACUGGCUUUUCCAACUUAUUUGCAAAUAGUCUUAGAUGCGUUUUGGGGUUACCAGUUCCAUCAUACUUACUAAAUUUGGAUGUUUUAAAACCCAAAGGCAAUUGCAUGUCCGGAAAAAGACACAACUCAUCAUAAUCCAAAACUCCAGGCUUGCUCAAUCCUUGAAUUUUUCUUAUGAAUUCAUCAAAUUUAUUUAACCUUUUCAACAGAUUUUUGUCUAUUGGGGGUGGAGGAUUCACCCUUUUUCACCUUUCCUUGCAUAGCAGCAUCCAGCAUGAAUGGCUCAGUGGUGGUGUGAUGAACUAUUUGAGAGUUUGGGUAAUUCUGAAACAUUUGAAUGCUGGCCAGGUUGACUUGGAUGUUAUGAGGGUAAUUAUAUGGAAAACUGGAAGCAGGGUAGGUGAAAGUCUUUUCGGGUAUAUUUGCAAAGGAUGGUGCAAAGGUAACUUGGGUAUGAGAUAAAGGAGAUGGUUGGUGUUCUAUUUCAGGUUGACUAAUAGGCAUGGGAUCAUGUUGGAUAUCGCCACUGCUAGCAACCAGUUGGUCAAUCAUGCGCCUUUGGGUUGACAUUUCCACGCUCAAUUCAUUGAAUUUGUUUAACAUCUCACUCAGUUGAACUCCCAAAUUUGCAGUGUCUGCUGGAGGUGUCGUGGUGGACCGGUCAGAUGAUUUCGGAUGUGCACUCAUGUUUACACGGUUUCUCAAAACUCGACUGCGAGAUCGUGUGACGAUGGGGUUUCUUCUUAUAGUUAUGUUUACAAUUACCUGAAAAUUUAGGAAAACCCUAUUUAGAUUCCCUUCUUGAUUAACUGCUGUCAAAAGAAAGAAAAAGAAAAAGACACGAGUUAGUACAAAUUAAAGUAAUUCGAAUGCACGUUCUAUUGGGGGAGCCCUUUUUGUGCCAAGGGUAGCCCUAACAUGAGAAUGCAAUCCUUUAGGGUAGGCACGUACAAUACCUGAUGAAUCCGAUCAACUUAUUGAUAUUCAAGUGAAAACCAAUUUGAAAGAAUUUGACCAAUUGGAGUGAGAAAACACAUAUGUCCUAACAAAAUGAGAACAAAGUCCGAAUGGAUUGAUUACUUUGAUUAAUACUUAAAGUGAUGUGUGAAAGAGCCUACUCUUGAAAGGAUUGCAAUGCCUUGACUAGUUUAUUUAGUGAACCUUAGAUCGAAACCCUAAAAGAGAAUAAACGGGUCAAAUAGAUCGGAUGAAAUUGAUGAACUUUGCUGGAUCGCCCUAAAAAUGGGUAAACUGGUCAAAUGGAUUAAAUGAAAUUGAUGAUUUAUUCAAAAUUCACUGGAUCACCCUAAAAAUGGGUAAACUGGUCAAAUGAAAUUGAUGAUUUAUUCAAAAUUGAUUGGAUCACCUUAAAAAAUGGGUAAACUAGUCAAAUGAAAUUGAUGAUUUAUUCAAAAUUGACUAGAUCACCCUAAAAAUGGAUAAAUUGGUCAAAUAAAAUUGAUGAUUUAUUCAAAAUUGACUGGAUCACCCUAAAAAAUGGGUAAACUGAUCAAAUGAAAUUGAUGAUUUGUUCAAAAUUGACUGGAUCACCCUAAAAAAUGGGUAAACUGGUCAAAUGAAAUUGAAGAUUUAUUCAAAAUUGAUUAGAUUGUCCUAAAAAUGAAUGAAUGGAUUGAGUUAAUGAUUUAUUAAAAAAUGACUAAAACUUGUUCUAAAAGUGAAUUGAUCUAAUGAUUUUGUGCUAGUGCCUCUUUCUUCUUUUUUUUUCAGUUGGCCAAAACCUACUUGGCUCGCGACUUUCCUUUUUUUUUUUUUGAGUUGCUGAAGCUUUCAGCAAUGGCAUACAAUAGUAGCGGCUCUCCCCCUCCCCUUCUUUUUUUAUAACUUUUCAACAUAUUUGGGUAAACCCUAUUCAUCCCAUAAUUAAAAUUUAAUACUCUAAUCCUACUAAUCCAGAUAUGAAUCCUCCUAAAUCUCUCAUACAAGCAUAUAUAUAUAUAACAUAAUACAUAGCCGUAAAAUCUUUAGAAUAAUUAAUGCGACUAAUUGAACUUAAAAGAGAAGUUUUCACGUGAAUUUGGGACUUACAGGUUUAGGUGCCUAGUUGCCCAAUUGAUUGAUAGCGACGUCAUCUUCUCCUUCUCUACUUUCUGACGGCUCUUGCUCUAAGGGGAGGCAGACAAUGAAAGGUAGGAAUGAUGUUUUUUUUCUUUGUUAUUUUGAUAAGUGCGCUAAACCCUAAUAACCACCCACUAGUAGAUGGGUUAGAUAAGAGUUUAAAUGUUAUGAACUUUUACUCUAUUUUAUCUCAUUUCUAUCCUCCAAUUAACCCUUUAAUCUAUCCUACACUUACUUUUACUUUUACUCAUAGUAAAUUACCAUUUAGUUAAUUGGGCAAGAAUUAAAAAAAAAUGAGCCAAAACCGUGGGUUUUACAUUCUACCCCCCUUACAAAAAGUUUCGUUCUCGAAACUUACGUACAUUGAUAAAAAAGAUAGGAAUAUCUAUUUUGCAUGUCUUCUUCUAACUCUCACGUUGCCUUUCGCAGUGUAUGGUUCAACCAUUGUACCUUCACGUAGGGUAUGGUCCUUCUUCUUAGAACUUGAUCCUUCCGAUCCACGAUUCUUAAAGGGACUUCCUCCACUGACAAGUUCUCCCUCACCUCGAUGGGUUAAUUCUCGGGUCUGACACAUACUUUCUUAGUUGGGAGACAUUAAAAUCGUUAUGUAUCCUGAACAGAACAAAUGGAAGAGCCAGUCGAUACGCUAAAGGUCCAACUCUCUCCAGUAUUUCGUAAGGUCCUAUAUACCUUGGACUUAACUUGCCACUUUUUCCAAACCUCAACACUCCUUUGGUGGGGAAUACUUUCAAAUAUACCUUUUCUCUCGAUUGAAAUUCUAAAGGCCUUCUCUGUAAAUUCGCCCAAUUUCUUGUUUCGGUCCUGAGUUACUUUUAGUCUCUCUCAAAUAACUUUAAUCUUCUCCAAGAUUCUUUCCACCAAAUUGGGUCCGAUGAUCAACUUCUGAUAGGUCAUAAUUUGUUGCUAAAUUUAUAAUUAUUUUCCCUUUGAUUUUUAGCCAAAUAUUAUUUUAAUUGUCGAAUUCUACUUAUAUUUGGUGUUUUAUAUUAUUUGCAGGGCAUUGGAGUAAAAAGUGCUAAAGAGAGGUAAUUUUCUUAGAGUUGAUUGUCAAGCGUAAGUGUUCCAAUUCAAGAUGGAGUCUAUGUGGAGCAUUGGUUGAAGAUCAGGAAACUGCCACCUUUUAUUAGAUAUUUUAUUAGGGAAUAAUUAGCAUUAUUUUUUAGAAGGUUUCCCUUUUUCAAUUAGAAUUGGAGUUUUAAUUCUUUUGCGGGCCUUUAGUUAGUGGAGGCCAAGAUAUUAGUACUUGAUAGGAAACAAAGCAAAUAAGAGGAGAAAAAGCCGGAUCCCGCAGGAUGAGGACUCAGCUAGGUAUCUCACAUGAUUACUACUUGGCCAGGGAAUAAGAAAAGAGAAGAAGGCAACCGCUUGGCUCUCUGCUCCGCAGAGUAGUUCUUUUACUAUCGAACAUUGACGCAAUUUCGUGGAGGGGACUUGCGUGAGUUACUCUCAAUGGAGAGUAACUAAUCUUGUUUUCUAGUCAAUGGACAAUUGAAGAUUUGGUUCAACAAUAACUGUGAGAUCUAAAUUAUUUUAAUUGUUUCCUUCAUUUAUUGGUAUUUGUAUACUUUCUGCUUUUAAUUGUUGUUAUAACUAUCGUGUAUAAUUGAAUAAAUGCGCAAUAUUUAAUUAUUCACGUAGGCUAUUUGCUAAUUGAGGGUAGUUGAAUCCGUAAUUGUUCGAUUACCUCUGUCCUAGUAGCAACUGGCAUAAUUGGAUUUAUGUCAGGGAAACAUACGAUCUAAUUUAAAUAAACCGUCGUAGCGUGUUUAUUAGUUAGGAUUGGGCCUUUCUAAACCUUAAUGCAAUCUAGAAAUUAAAUCCUACGGUCAUACCUAGGGUUGUUUCUUGGUUAGAAAAAUAGUUAAAGGUCGUACCUUAACUAUCGAGAAAUUAAGAAAAGGCUGGUUGUUUAUCGCGUGUAUGACAACUAUAACCGAUCUAUUGAUAACUGUUGGAAUUAUAUUUGCAUCGAUGAUCAGUUGCAUGAACCAUUUCUGAAAUGUAUCCUUGGCUAGAGUCUCUGCAGUUAUUUCUGUCAAUUAAUUAUUUUUUGCAUUUAAUUUAUUUAGUUAGCAUUUAAUCCAAAAAUCCUCCAUGCUCUGAACUCUAGAAGAAAUGAAUUAUCCCCAAUCCCUGUGGAUUCGACCCUACUCACCGCUAUAUACAAAAUUUGUAUUUUUCUCGAGUAGGUAUUUAUUAUUGCACAGGCUCGACACCUGUCAAUUUUUAGUGCUGUUGCCGAGGACUGGUGCCUGAUUAAUUUGUUUCUUUUUGAGUUAAUCUUGUUUUCAAUUUUUUUUAUUUUUCUCUUAUUUUUUUUAUAUAUAAUUUAUGGCUGCUAACAUUCCGUAUUUUGGUGAUAGACUGAAUUUUAUUUCUAGAAGGGGUUAUGAGGCUUAUGCUUUUUCUAAUAAUCAAUGGACUGCUACAAAUUGUGAAAUUUAUUUUUUCUCAAAUCAUUCAAUCGACAUAUACCAUACAUUUCAAGAUGGUCUAAGUGUUCCAAUUGAUACUUUUGGAGAUUUUUUACCUCAAUAUCAAACGUGGUAUGACCCUUAUUCAAAUGGGUAUGAGCAAGGGUGGUGGGAUGAUUCCAAUUUUAAUUAUGAACAAAGGCCAAUAGAUUUUCAACAGUUAGAGUCUCAAGAACUGUCAUCCAUGUCAGGUAUGUCUCUUAAAGAAAUAGUUGAAUUAAUAGCUACUAACACAUAUCAAAUUCAACAGGAGACACAUCAAAUUCAACAGGAGACAAUGGAUUUUCAUCAGGAGACAAUGAUUUUUCAUCAGGAGACACAAGCGAGCAUGCGUAACCUGGCAGAUCAAGUUAAUCAAUUGACAUAUAGGAUAACACAAUUGACUUCUCAAAUGUGUGAAGAAUUGCCCUCACAGACUAUUAUAGAUCAUGAGGAAGAUGAGAGUGCAAUUAUCCUGACAAAUGACAUGGAGCUGCAAGAAUCUCAAGAAGAAGAAUCUAAAGAUGCAGUUGAAAAUGGCAUUGAAGUGCAAGAAAUGAGACCUCAAUAUCAAAUUGUUCAAAUGAAUGAAUCCAGUGAACAAUCUCCAAAUGCGGUGACAUCUCCUCCAUUUCUUAAUCAAUAUCCUCAUGACUCUUGUUCUUUAAUUCCUGUUAGUGAGAUUGAGUUUAUUAUACCAGACGAUUUUGAGUUUCAUGAUAGGAAUAAGUUAAGAGUUACAAUGACAGAAUAUUUCGAACCAAUAAGUGCUCGUGAUGGAGGAGUGAGUGAAGAUUUAAGGUCAUCACUUGUUUGUUUGGCGCCAUCUACUAAUCCAUGGAAGACCGUAUCUCGUGUGUUUAAAAAUUACUCUAUUUACGAGAGAUAUCAGGACUACAUAGAAGAUGAAGCGCUGAAACGAGUUACACGAUUUUAUCCUCCGUGAAUAAACAGGGCAAUGUCUAACCAAAGACAUUAAAGAAAGGCGCUGCUUGGGAGGCAACCCAAGGCCUUUGUUUUAGUUUCCUUAUAUUUUUGGAGUUUUUGUUAAGUGUUAGUUGCAUUUAGUGAUUUGUUUCUUUUGUGGCAGGAAGCUGGUAGUUGGGCGUGCCCGCGUCUAGUAAGCACACCUAAGGAAUGCAAGUAUUUUUUUGCGGUCAGAAGACUACUUAGUAGUUAGACGUGCCCACGCUUAAGGGAGGCAAUUUUCAUUUGCGGUCAGAAGACUCUAUAGUAGUUAGGCGUGCCCACGCCAAGUGGUCACGUGUAAGGAACUUAAUUUCUGAAAAUUGGUCAGAAGACUCUCUAAUAAUUAGGCGUGCCCACGCCAAGUGGUCACGUCUAAGGAACUUAAUUUCUGAAAAUUGGUCAGAAGACUCUCUAAUAAUUAGGCGUGCCCACGCCAGGUGGUCACGCUUAAGGAUCUUAAUUUCGGACGGUUGGUCAGAAGAUUCGAAGGCAGUUAGGCGUGCCCACACCUAACACAGGGGUUCCUUUAUUCAAAAAAAAGUCCCUCACUGCCUGUUCUCAUCUUUGUUCAAACAAAGGAUAAAAGGAAGAACCGACCAAUUUCACCUAUGUUAUAGCUGCUCGAGAUCCUCCAUUACGUGCUCAGGGAAGUUUCGUUGUCCCUUUUGUUUCGUAUUAUAUUCUUUAUCUCUUACAUUGGGGAUAAUGUAAGAUUUAGGUGUGGGGAGAGUAGUAUAUUGGUAUUUUAUUGAAAAAAUGCAAGUGUAGGCAUUUUUGUUGGAUUUUUUUUAUUCGACUUUGUCGAAUUUUAUCCAAUUUUUGCCUAUUUUUGUGCAUAUUUGUGAUUAUUAUUGAUAAACGAUGGUUAGAUGUCUCAAAUUUUUCUAUUGCUAAAAUUUUACACUCUAGGGUAUUGAGUAUGAUAUGGUUAAGUUUAAGGGUAUCUCUUUAGUGAAUAGUUAAGAUUUUGUGACUUUUGCACUUUUUGAUUAACUUCUCUAAGUAUUGUAAAUAUUUGUCUAGCAUUUUUUUAUGUAAAUUGGUUCAACUAUUAAUCUUGGUUCUCCAUGAUUAAGAAAUGAAGCGGGCUUGUGUGAUCUUUAAUUUUAUUUUUGAUGUUUAUUUGAAUCAUAUUUGGCUAUACUCCGCUAGUAUUGUUGCCUAGUAACCGGAGAUUUUCACCACAAGUGUUGACUUUCGCGUCAAAAAGUGACGAUAACUAUGAGUAUGUGGUCCCUUAGCGAUGAUGGCUGAAUAACCGGGCUCCUUCAUUUGGCCAAUGUCGGAGUUCGCGUCAAAACGCUUAAAUGACUAAAGACUAAGCAUUCCCCAUGAAGAAAAAAAUCAAUCAAGUUUGGGGAUAUUUUAGAAAAAAAGUGCUAAUAGUGAAAAAUGUGAAUGAAUUGUUAGCCCGCUGAUCCAUGAAGUUUAAUGUUGAGAUUUUGCUUAAUAGUCGAACCAUUUACUUAUGGAUGCUGGUUGAAUAUUUUAUAUUUUUAGAUUAGUUGGUCAUAAAUUGAAAGAGUCAUUGAUCUUGAAAACUAAUUGGAGAGAUAUUUCUUGCAAAUUGCCCCUAAUACUUGACAUGUGUUUAAUUGUAUAUUGGCAACAGAAGAUUUGGGUAAUACCAUUGUUUGAAUUUGAUCACUUGAUUUGUGUUCUCAUGCUUGAGGACAAGCAUGGUUUAGGUGUGGGAGAAAUUGAUAGGUCAUAACUCUCUCUCAAAUAACUUUAAUCUUCUCCAAGAUUCUUUCCACCAAAUUGGGUCCGGUGAUCAACUUCUUACCUAUUUCAUCCCAAUAUAAGGGAGAUCUACAUUUUUGCCCAUAUAACAUUUCAACGAUGCCAUACCUAUUCCUCUAUGAUAGCUAUUGUUAUACGAGAAUUAUAUUAGUUUUACCAACCUAUCCCAACUAUCUGAAAAGUCUAGAGCACAAGCUCUCAGCAUGUCCUCCAGUGUCUGUAUGGUCCUUUCUAACUGUCUGUCCAUUUGGGGGUGAAGGGCGGUAUUUAGUCUUAGAUCAAUCCCCAUAACCUCUUGGUAGGUCAACCAAAAUCUAGACAUGAAUCUAGGAUCCCAAUCUAGCACUACUUUCACAAUUCAUUUUUAGACUAGAUAUCACAUUCUCUCCCCCUAAAAAGGUUUCAUCCUCGAAACCUAAAAGAUAUAAACAUCAAAAUAAGUUAACAAAAUUCCCAAUAUUCUUGCAAUACAUCUUAGGAAUUAUUCCUACAAUGUCUAAAUUGGAUUUUCUUAUUUAAUUCCAUCAAACUUCUGCUGCACACUCUCAUUUUUCUCAAUACCUCUCAUCUUCAUAUUUAUAGAGAUCAGAUGAACAGAAUAUCUCUCACAAAUCCAACAUUCUAAAUAUUAGCUUAUAAUGCUACAUAGAGAUCAACCUAUAGAAAGGAUGCCAAAAACACUAACAUUACCAUUUCUUCUUUUGUCAUACAUUUUUUCACAACUUACUUAUCCACUAUUGCAAAAAGUAAUCAUUAUCUCGAUAUAUGGGUUCCUGCCUAUUGUAAUUGGUAAUGAAAAUCUCUUAUUUCCUUCAAAUCCCAUAUCUAUCUAAUUUCAAAUUUCAAAAAAAAAAAUCAAUAAUACCUCAAAUAGCAUCACACCUAUUUUCAAAUCCUAUAACCUGAGUUGUUAUAUCACUAAAUGCCAUGGAAAUCUUAUUUCAUUUGAUCAUCAUUUUUUUUUAUCUCAAUUCAAUUUCCAAAACAAUAUUCAUAUUACGGUAGAACAUACCAAAACACACAAAAUUUUAUACAAAAAUUAUCGCCAAAUUCUCAUAUUUGAAUAUAAUAACUUCAUCAUAACUUUGGUAAAGUAUUUAUCUAUGCGUAGAAUUUCGAACUCAUACAAGUUUAGAAACCUGAAAGUGUUUGAAACACAUAAGUUAGUUAAUUGUACUUCUUAUACCAUUAGAACUUAGAGUACGAAGAGAAUUUAUUAAAAAUUAUUGUUAGAUUCUUUCUACAUGAUAUGAUUUUUUUUUUAUGUAGAACACGUUUAUCUAUAGCUCGUUUUGAGAUUGGAUGAGUAUCAUAAAGACAUUUUGUACAGGGUUCUGGGAUACAAUUAUUUAUGGUGAUUAUUCACCUUUAUUGUUAAUUUAUGUAUCUUUGUGUAUACAUAUUUAUAGAAAUUAUACUUAUUUGAUAAAGAUACUUAUUCAAAAAUCUUGAUUAACAUUUGUUCGUGAAAUAAUUUUUUUUUAAGACAAGAACUAUGUAAGAUUAUGUAUUCUAAGAAAUUUCUAACAUAUUUAUUGACCAAGCACAGUGUAAUAAUGCCAAUAAACUAAUUCAAUAAUUAUCUGGGGCAUGAGAUCUAAUCGUUGUAAAUCUCAAAAAGAGACAAGUCUAUUCACUCUUGGCCAUAUCUCCCACCGAAUGAGUACUAUUGCUAGACUUAUCAAUUUGUAUGGGAUAAGGCCAUACACCUGUUAGUUGUCACCAGUAGUGGUAAUAAUUCAAUUAGAGUAAAAUGGUACCAGCAUUAGUAGUACUUCUAUCCAGGUAAGAGCACUAUUUAUAGAGCUCUAUUACAAAAAGAAAAGGUUCGCAACAUUUCAUUCUUCAUCCUUUGAAAUGGUUUCAUCCGUGAAGCCUAAUCCCACGUCAAGAUAAGUCUAUAUAACAUCCCAUAUCGUUGUUACCCAUCGUGCAAUUAAUUCUACACAACUUAAACUGGGUCUCUUUAUUCACUCCAUCACACUUGCUACGUACUUUUAAUUCCUUGACACUUUCAAUUUCCUAUAGACAGUACUUCAAAUAUAUAUAAUAUUUCCUACACGUCCAACAUCUUAAACUUAGAUUGUACUACCAAAAUCAUAUUCAACAAAAGGACAUCAUAAACACCAAUAAUACCAUUUCAACUUAAAUAACACAUACAAAUUUUCAAGCCUAUUUAUUCAGUCACAAUUGAUCAUUUUCUAGUGUGUAUUUCCUCUAAAGAAUAAAUCGUACCCUACGCUCUGUUAUCACUAAAUAUUAUGGAGCUCUCUUAUUUCACAAUCCUCUAUCCAACCUCAUUCAAAUUUCUAAAAUCACUAAUAUUACAAACAUCAUUCAACAUACAUCUAGAUCGUAUAAUCUAAACUUUGAUAACAUUAAAUAUCACGAGAAUCUCUUAUUUCCUUUAAUCCACUUUUUUUUCAUCUCAUUUCAAUUCUUAAAGUUUCUAAUACCUCAAACACCAUUUACAUACUUCCGGAUCAUAUAACCUAAGCUCUGAUACCACUAAAAAUGUCAUAGGAAUCUCUUAUUUCCUUUUAUCUGUUUUUAUUUUCAAAAUCAUUAAUAUCUAAACAUCAUUUCUCAUACUCCCAGACCAUAUAACCUAGGCUCUGAUACCACUAAAAAUGUCACGCCCCGAGGCCGCACGCGCUAGUCAUGUGACAUUUGCCAUAUCAUCAAGUCUCGUUCAAGAAUACAAGGCAACAUCGAACUAGACUAAAUUCAAAAAGUACUAAAUAGUAUAACUAAAGAAAGUGCGGUACAAAUUUCCAGUGAAGGAUAGUCUACGAAUAUUCAAUAAGUUCGUACAUUUAUUCUCUAGUAGAAAUAGCGGAAACAAAAGUAAAUAAAACUAACAACUAGAAGUAGCUAGCAUGCUAACUUCUGUUAACUUAAAAACUAAUAAAAGUCCUCCUCAGGGUCUUCUACGUAAAUCAACUCAUACUUUUCAGAAUCUGCAAAGAUGGUAAAAAGUGGGUUGAGCGAAAAGUCGUUUAGUAGGUAAUAUCUACCCCUAUGUUGAACCAUGCACUCAUAACUUUAUAGAUACGUACAUAUAUAAAUCAAAUUAUUUUCACAUUAUUCACAUCAAUAAUCAUGAAAAUAAUGUUAUGGGUAAAACAAUUAGUAGUAACGAGUGACAAAGCAAUUUCAAAGCAUCUUAUUGGUAAUCGCAGAUGAAAGUCAUAAAGUCAUAGAUAAUUUCAUAUCAAUUCAUAAGUCUCUUCAUAUCAGCUCACAAUAAGCACAUGUAAUGACCGACUAUUGAGUACUCAGACUAGAGAUUAAACCCAUUAGGUGGGCGACCAAUAGGUUUCAUGACUACCGAUUGGUCUCAUUACAUAUAUGGGUCAAUCGACCGGACUCUAUACCAAACUACCAUGAUCUUGUCAAUCGGCCGGACUCUAUACCAGGAUACCAUGACCAUUAGACACGACUAUAACCCCUACCGUCUAUUCCAUGACUGUUUUGAGCUUUUCUUGACAUAAAUUCAUUUCACACGUCAUAUGCAUAGUUCUUGAUUUCAUAAAAGGUACAGCUUAUUUGGUAUAUAAUAACAUAUCAAGAAGUUUCAAAUAAGUCACAUGGUCCAUUUUUAUAUAGUCAAAAUAGAACUUCCUUAAACAGUCAAGUAAAUCAUUCAAUCAAAACAAUUCAAAUUAACACGUAAAAAUAUAAUCGAUGACAAAAAUUUUACUUUAAACUUUUGAAAUUUCAGAAGGAUAAGUACCAUCUACCUUUAUCUGGCUGCUCGAGUAAAACUACCUUAGAUCUUUUAAACUUGUAUCGUACAUAUCAAAUGCAUAGGUAUUCUAAUUAGUUGAUAUUUCUUAUAAAUGCAUAAAUAUACUAACUCUGAGUAAAUUUAAAAUUCAUGUCUAAACCAUUAUAUGAACCCUAGUAGAGUUUUUUUCCUAUAUUGAGAAGUUUCUAUUUUUGAAAAGUUUCUUAAUUUGGAAGGUUUUCCUUUUUUGUAAAGUUUCCUAAUUUAGAAAUAAUUAUUUGUAAUCACAUUUAUUAUCUUGACCAUUGUACGUAUUUAACUAUACAUAUAUAUUUAUUAUUAUUUUAUUAUUCAUUGUUAUUGUUGUUGUCCUUGUCAUCACUAUUUUAUUUUAUUAUCAUUUAUAUAUAUAUUUGUUAAUUAGUUACUAUUAUCUUUUGCUUUACUUCCUUUUUUUUUGCGCAUGUGUAGGUGUUAUUAUUAUUUAUAUGUAUAUAUAUUGGCUUAUUAUUAUAAUUAUUUCCUUAGUUUAUUUCACUUGUAUUUAUAUUUUCAUUUUAAUCUUUAAUUUACUUCAUCUAUAUCUAUAUUGUCAUUAUUAUUGUUAUUAUUUUAAGCAUUUAAAAGAAAUCUAAAACCUAUCUUAUAUUGUAUAACUUAAUCUAAUAGUGAUAGAUUAAAAUGUCUUAGAUUUCUAUUUAAAUACCUUAGGCCUAAUUAAAUAAGCCCGAUUGGCGAAAUCUUUUAAAAUAUUCACUUAAUUUAGGUUGGGUCUGGAAAUUUAGUUUCUAUGUUAGUCCAAAAAUGUGGGUUGAUUAUACCUAAAAUUUAAUUAUUGGACAUUCACUUAACCCAUAUUAUAUAUAUAUAUAUAUUUUUUCAGAAUCUAUUACUAUUAAUAUGAUUUUUUUUUUGGUUUCGGCCAACCUUUCUAAUGGAGCCUCUGUCGCCAGCACUUGCUGGCAGAUUUUUUUUUUUUUCUUUUGGUUGGCCGAAAGGUUUCGACCAACCUUUCUAAUGGAGCCUUAAGUGCUAGCGGCUCUUUCUUUUUUUUUUCGGUUGGCCUUUUCCUACUUGGUCCAUGUCGCUAGCCACUUGCUGGCGACUUUCCUUUUUUUUUUUUUUUGCAUUGCUGAAGCUUUCAGCAAUGGCGUGCCGCUGCUCUCCCCCUCCCCUUCUUUUUUUUUAUAACUUUUCAACAUAUUUGGGUAAACCUUAUCCAUCCCAUAAUUAAAUUUAAUACCCUAAUCCUACUAAUCUAGAUAUGAAUCCUUCUAAAUCUCUCAUACAAGCAUAUAUAUAUAUAUAACAUAAUACAUAGCCGUAAAAUCUUUAGAAUAAUUAAUGCGACUAAUGGAACUUAAAAGAGAAGUUUUCACGUGAAUUUGGGACUUACAGGUCUAGGUGCCUAGUUGCCUGGUUGAUUGAUAGCGACGCCUUCUUCUCAUUCUCUAAUCUCUGACGGCUCUUGCUCUAAGAGGAGGUAGAGAAUGAAAGGUAGGAAUGAUGUUUUUUUUUCUUUGUUGUUUUGAGAAGUGUGCUAAACCCUAAUAACCACCCACUAGUACAUGGGUUAGAUAAGAGUUUUAACUGUUAUGAACUUUUACCCUAUCUUAUCUCAUUUCUAUCCUCCAAUUAACCCUUUAAUCUAUCCUACACUUACUUUUACUCUUACUCAUAGUAAAUUAUCAUUCAGUUAAUUGGGCAAGAAUAAAAAAAAAUGAGCCAAAACCGUGGGUUUUACACUUAAAUAGCAGAAUUUUUCUUAAAUGGGUAAAAUACCAAAAAACUCCUUAUGGUUUACUAAAUGUUUAAUUUAACUCCCUCUGAUUUGAAAACCUACACUAUAACUCCUUGUGGUUUGAACUAAUUUGAAAAUUGGACGGAAAGUGUCCAAUCUAACUGCUAUAUGUGAAAUGUCAAUAUUGCCCCUGUAUAAAUGAACUCCCUAUAGUUUGUCGAAUGUUCAAUUUAACUCCCUCUAGUUUGAAAAAUUACACUAUAACUACCUAUGAUUUCGACUAAAUUGAAAAUUGAAUAGAAAGCAUCGUACAUAUAGUGGGGCAAUAUUGACAUUUCACACACAACCGUUAGAUUGGAUGGUUUCUAUACAAUUUUCAAUUUAGUGAACACCAUAGAGCGUUAUAGCGUAGGUUUCCAAACUAGAGGGAGUUAAAUUGAACAUUUAUCAAACCACAGGAAGUUUUUUGGCAUUUUACCCUUCUUAAAUCCGUGUACUAACUGGCUACACAUGUGUGUGAAGUGCAUUUGAAUUGACAGAAAAUCUAUCAACUGCUCAAAGAGAAAGCCACUUCACGCACAUACGUAGCCAGUUGGUAGACGGAUUAAUGAAAGAGAAAGGCACAACCAAUGAGAACGAGACACAAAGUAACUGGUAUGCAUAACACUGAAAAGUUGUAUUACUUCUUCCAUCCCAUUAAAAGUGUAAUACCUUCUAUUUUGAAACAUUCCAAAAUGUUUGUCAAAUUAAAGUCACUUUUGAUUUUUUUUCAAUGUUGUCCUCAUCUUUAUCGAUAUUUUAUACUAAAUUCAAAUUUAAAACUUGAAUUUUUAAAGGUAAUUUUGGAAACGAAUCCUCUAACAACAGUAUCAAUCCACUAUUAUUAAAAAGUUGAAAUCCUAAAAUGCAACAAACAUUUCUAAGAGAGUAUAAUUCAAAGAAUUAUAUGUCAAACGUAGGCACAACAUGUUUUGUCCAUGUGAAACGUGACACAUAACGUCCAAGCUGAAAUGAAAACGUGUUAGUAGCGUAGAGCACUAAUAGGCAGUGUUUUGAUACCUAAGUUGAAUCAGCCGGUUCAACCGGUUAGAUCGCGAACCAAUCACGGCUCCAGUCCUAGCACCUUCCACUUACAUCAUUUUCACACUUUUUUAGGGACAUUUGAGGGGAUGUUGCAGCAACAUUUUGGGAGCUCCAAGACCGCUUUUUCUUGAUUCUCUGGCAACAAGAAACAACUAGAAAUAUAGGAGUAAAGACUUAGUUUUCUUGAACAUAUUUCUCUAGUUUUUUUAGUUAGCUUAGUCUUUCAUUUUUCUUGGAGAAUUCUUGGAGAACUCUUGAUGUGCUCAAUAUUUUGAAGACAAUGAAGAUAAUGGAAAUUGAAAACUCUUGUUUCUUCAAUUGAAUGAGUAAUUUUUUCACUCCUUCUUUCUUUAUUGUUGGAUUUAUGUUUGGUUGCUGAUAAGUUACAUUUUUGUUAUUAAAUUUGUGAUUAUUUCCCCCUUGAUUUUAGCCAAAUAUUGUAUUAAUGGAUAAAUUCUACUCAUAUUUGGUAAUUUGUGCUAAUUGUAGGAAUAUGAUGAGAAAAGGAGUAAAAAAUGGUUUAAUGAAAAUUUUUAGCCAGUUCUUUGUGGGCCCGUUCAAAUCCUACUAUCAAGUCUCGGAGGCUCGAGAUUUUACUACGAGCGGUAGUAUCCCAGUUCGAAUGGAAGUUCUUCGAAGCAUGUUUCCUUAUCUGAGAUAAUUGGUCUUUCUUUUUGUAUUAAGAAACAAAUAGGUUAUAUUUUGUCAAUUUAGGGAAUCUCCUUUUCUUUGAAGAAAAUUAGGAAGUAUUAGUAGUUUAGGAGAGUAAGAGACGUGAGAACAAGGAAGUCUUCUUGUUUGCGUUGGCUUUAAAAAGUCAUGGUUGUUUUUAGCGAAAGGGGUGAUUAGUCUUGGCAGUCAGCACCAAGGAAGAACGAAGAGUUUUUCUCUUCGUCUUUUCUUUUCUAUUGCUCCUUCUGUUGUCGAACCUCAGGCAACUUUCGUCAACGAAAUUGCCUGAGUUAUUUUCAAUGGAAAGCAACUAAUCCCUUUUUCUAGUCAAGGGUCAAUUUGAAGAUACGGUUUCAAAUAUCUAUGAGAUUGAAUUAUUUUUAUUUAUUUCUUUUAUUCAUUAGUAUUCGUACGUCUUCUGUUUCAACUUCUUAUGAUUAUUUUGUUAUUUGAAUGUCAAGGACCCGAUAUUUGAAUUAAUCUAAUAAUCUACUGCCAUAUUAAUCAAUUAAAUUCGUAAUUGUUUGAUUGAUUAAUACUAAUGGCAACUAGCGUGAUUGGUUUCAUGUUAGGAAAACGUAUAAUCUAACUUCAAUGAACCUUCGUAGCGUAUUUGUUAGUUAGGAUUGAGUUUUUCUAAUUUUUAAUGCAAUUGAAAAAUUAAACCUAUGGUCAUAUCUAGAGUUGUUUCUUGGUUAGGAAAAUAAUUAAUGGUCGUGCCUUGACUAUUGAUAAACUAAGGAAAAGUUGGCUAUCAAAACUUAUUGAUGGUUAUAACCAAUUUAUUAAUGAGUGAUUAAAUCAUUCUUGCAUCAAUGAUCAAUUGUAUGAAUCGUAUCUGAAAAGUUGUACCUUUGAUUAGAGUCAUAUUUAUUGUUGAUUUAAUUCCUAUUUAUUUCAUUAAUUGUUUCUUUAAUUGGUUAGUGAGUUAUUUCUAAAUUGUCUAAAAAUUCCCCUUACUUUAGGCUCUAAAAAGAGACAAAUUUUUCUCAAUCCCUGUGAAUUCGACCCUACUCAUCACUAUAUACAAAAAUUUGUAUUUUAUUUGAAUAGGUAUUUUUUAUUGCACAAUCUCGACACCUCUCAGUUGCAUUAAAGCCUUAAGCUUUUCUAUUCUAUCUACUAUUUUUUUAUUCAAAAGGCAAUUUUAUUAAGUAGAAAGCAUGCACUUGUUUUUCAGAUAUGUAUGCAAAAUGUGGAAGGUUGGACCUAGCACGUCUAGCUUUCUUCAGAAUUUCCAAAAAAGACACUGUUUCUUGGAACUCGAUGAUUACUAGCUAUUGCUAGCAAUUGAUCUUUUCUAUCAGAUGGGUUUAGAAGGAGCAAAAUAUGACUCUGUUAGGAUAUCUGCAGCUCUUUGCACAUGUGCAGACUUACAGGCACUGCAUUAUGGCAAAGAAAUACAUGGAUUCAUGAUUCGAGGAUCAUUUAGCUCAGAUCUUUAUGCUGAGAGCGCAUUGAUAGACAUGUAUGCUAAAUGCAGACACUUAGAAUUAGCAUGUACUGCUUUUGACUUGAUGAAGUGCAAGAACGAAGUUUCUUGGAAUAGCAUAAUUGCUACUUAUGGGAACCAUGGACACCUUGAGAAUGCUUUGGCUCAACUGAAUGAAAUGAGGGAAAAUGGAUUCCAGCCUGACCAUGUCACUUUCCUCGCCAUAAUAACUGCUUGUGGCCAUACUGGCCAAGUUGAAGAGGGCAAGCAACUUUUUGAGUGCAUGACCUAAGAAUUUGGAAUUACAGCUCGAAUAGAACACUAUGCAUGCUUAAUAGAUUUGUUUGGCCGAGCUGGUCGUCUUGAAGAAGUACAUCAAGUGAUUAGGAGCAUGCCAUUUACUACAGAUGCUGGCAUAUGGGGCAUGCUACUCGGAGCCUGCCAUGUCCAUGGCAACGUUGAACUAGCUGAAUUGGCUUCAAAUCAUCUUUUUGACUUGGACUCGCAAAAUUCUGGAUAUUAUAUGCUCCUAUCAGAUGUGAAAGCUGACACUGAAAAGUGGGAAGGGGUUAACAAAGUAAGAAAUAUGAUGAAGGAAAGAGGAGUGCAGAAAGCUCCUGGUUACAACGCAAUCUCGCAACUCAGGAAUACGUGGUUUAACAAUUCUUCAUUCGGGCAGAAGAGACAUUUGGAUGGGAGGUUGAAACCAAACUAUUGUAAAAUUUCUGGAAAAGGCAGCAAGGAGUACAGCAGCUGCCACAUGAAGAUGGAAAUUUUGUAUGGUAGUCGUUUAUCCCAAAUCAGCAGAUGUGAGACCAUUGAGGCACCUUGUGAGCGCAGCUGCUGUAGUGCUGAAGAUAUGCUAAAGAGUCCAUUGGAUGAGGGACACCAUGCUAGACGAUCAUCACCAUUUGAGAUGGAGAUUUGGGGAGGUCCGAAUGUCAUGUAUCUCACUAGGGGAUAAGGCACUCUCGACAGCUUGUAAGUUCCAAGACCCAUUUUCCAAACAAUUGCUGACUUGCACUCCCGGGCAAGGGACAUAUGCCUUCCCUAUAGCAAGAAAGCCCAUACCCAACAAGUUUUCAAACCAAAAGGAUGAACGACCUGUGCAUAUCAACCAUCACGAGUGAUCCUCCGCAAAAUCUCGAGCUCGUAGCAAUCAUCGCCAUGUCUUCGAUCCUUUGCUGGACGUUGGUACCUGGAUUAAAUGUGACUAUUGCCCGUAUUUCACAGACAUGAAACGGGUCCAUAACGUAGAGGUAGUUCGUAGCCACCACCAAAGCUUGCAACUAAAUGCCUGCAGCACAGCGUCUAGUGCCAUGAACCCUAAGCCAUCCUUCUCGACUGGUUUACAUAGUUCUUCCAUUCCCUCUAAUGUCUCCUCUCCUUCCCCUCGACCUAGCCAUAGAAGAAGGUAGCAAAAAUGCAUUCCAUUUUUCGUAAAGUCCUUGUUGGGGGCUCCAAAACAGCCAUGAUAUGUUGGGGAAUUGACAUCAGGACGUGCUUGAUAAGCAAUGCGCGACCCCCAGCUGAUAAUGCCUUGGUUUUCCAGCCAACUAGCUUCAUUCUCAUUUUUUCAAUUAUAUGCUGAAAAUUCACUCGACUUGGUCUGCCUUUUGCUAGCGUGCAGCCUAGCUAUUGAAAAGGUAACUGGCGAACUUUAACAUCUAGCCAUUGGGAUAUCUGUCAUGAUCUAGCCGUCGAGCAUCGUAAGAAGAUACUCCCUCCCUUUUUUUAUAACUGACGUUUAAGAAAUUUGCUCUAGUGUACUUUUAUCUAUCAUUUUAUUAUCCCCAUACAGCAUUAAUUACUUUUUCACAAUUUUACCCUUUUAUCUCUCUGGUAUUAAUACACUCUCAUGCAUUGCUUUUGGCCUAGUAAAACAGCACCAUUUAGUACUAUAGUGAGAGAAAACAUGGGUGAAUUGGACAAUUAAUGAGGAUACAAAAGGAAAGUAGUGUACAGAUUUAAGCAUUGAAAAACUUUUCUUAAUUAGUGUGCAAAACCUUAAACGUCAGUUAUAAAAAAAGGGAGAGAGUAAUAAAGAAGCACUUGUCUUUAUUGAUUUGCUGCCCCAAGCCCAGUUGAUAAGUGUCAAGAAACUCUAGUAGUGAUUUGAUGUCUGUUUAGUGCCCCUUCAUAAAGAGCAAGACAUCGUCGGCAAAGCUCAAAUGUGCAAUUGGGAUACGUUCCCUCAGGAGGCCGAAUGGAGAGAGUUUACCCGUCGAGAGUAGGGCAUUCAAGCCUCGGUUGAAUGCUUCAACAACUAGUAGGAAUAAGUAUGGGGAGAGUGGAUCUCCUUGUUUGAUUCCCCACUCACCUUGGAAGAAGCCGAAGGGCUUGCCAUUGAUAAGUACUGAAAACCAUGCUCCUUGAAGAUUGUUCAUGACCAAGGAAAUAAACCAGCCACUAAAUCCAAAUUUACAUAGCAACUUGGAUAGAAAUUGCCAGGAUACGAAGUCAAAGGCCUUCAUCAUAUCCACCUUGGGAAUCAUGUUGUGGCCUCGAGUUUUUGUGUCUAUCGAUUUCAACAAUUCUUGGGCCAGAAGGAUAUUGUCUGAUAUUUCCCUCCCGUCGACAAAAGCAGAUUGCUCCAAUGAUAGUAGAGUAGGCAUCAAUGGUUUCAUUCGCAUACAAAGAAUCUUCGUGAAUACCUUUUUUAGGAAGGUGCAAAGACUUAUUGGUCUAAACUCGGCAAAUGUCUGCGGCUGUUCUUUUUUUGGUAGCAGUAUGAUUAAGGUGCUGGCAAUACUUUUUGGUGUUGGAACCCCACAAAAAAACCCUCGACUGCUUGCAACAGGUCUUGAGCUAUUAUGUCCCAACAAGUCGUGUAAAAGAACCCCGUAAAACCAUCCACCCAUGCUGCACUUUGGCCAUCCAAUGCAAAAACAGCCUUUUUGACUUCCUCUAAUGUAACUUCGCUCGUUAAAUCCUCGUUUUGUUGGUGUGUAACCGGCCUUGGAAUCGAAGCCAACAAUUCUUCAAUUGCUGGCUCACAAUUAGGAGUGUUUUGGCAGGACAACAAGUUUCUGUAGAAAGUUGCUGCACUCUGACCUAUAGCCUCCUCGUCUUCUAACAUGUUGUCAUCUGCCUCCCUUACUUGACGAAUUGAGAGGCAUGCUCGCUUGGAUAUUAGAGUGGAAUGGAAAAUUUUUGUGUUGGAAUCUCCCUCCUUUAGCUACCGUAUUCAUGUUUUUUGUUUCCAGAACAUUUCCUCAUCAGCGUCUUAAGUAGCCUUGCUUGUGUGCGGCUCUAUUGGGUCCUCGCCUCUUCUGUCCCUUCCUCCUCCAGCAAGAUCUCGCACGCUCUAACUUCUUCUGCUGCUGCUGCUACAUCCUUGAAAACAUCUCCAAACAUGUCUUUGUUCCACUGCUGAAGGUCAUGUUUGAGGCGCUUGAGCUUGAAGAAGAAAGCGAACAUGCCAUAGCCUUGAACAGCUUGCUCCCAACUCUGGUGAACCGUGUCAAAGAAUGUUGGGUGCUGGACCCACAUAUGCUAGAAUUUGAAUAACUGUGGAGCAGGGGCGCUGUGUUGCUUAACUUUCAUCAAAAGGGGCAAAUGAUCCGAUCCUGUUCUAUUCAAAAGUUGUAGCGAGUUAUCUUGAAAACACUAUAGCCAUUCUAAGUUUACUAGUAGUCCAUACCAUUCUAAGUUUACUACCAUCUGAUUUACAGUGAACUUGGUCAACACAAAGUUUAUUCUAUCAAGGUUACAAAGAAUAAAAUUGCAUCCAUUUUUCAGCUAAGGUAGGAACCCUGAAUAAGCUAGCUAGCUAUCUAGUUUGUUUCAGAUAACAAGCAAUGAGCAUCUGAUCAUCAAAGAGACACAGAAAUGAUAACCUCAACAAUCAAGUCGUUUAUUGCCAUCUCAAGUAAGUCUAUGGUAUUCAGGUCGUCGAAUUCAUCUCCUUUACAAAUGCAAGUAAGGAGCAUUCGACCACGAGAAAGUAACUUUUCCGAACGAAUCCUUAGAAAUGUGGGCGAGCGGACGACUUGCUUUGGAAGAGUAAAUGCUCCCUUUGUUCGCACUGAUCCCCAAUUCAAUCACCAAACCGUUGGGAACCUGCAGUCUAAAGCUAGUAACUUAUAUAGUUGGAUCAUUUUGUUAGUGUUGCAUAUGGGAAUAUAAAUCAUGAGCCACGAAUUAAAUUGUUAAUCUCAUUUCUUAACUACAAUAGUUUAUCUCAUUUAAUUGUUAAUCAUGCUUCAUUUAAAUGCAUUUAAUUAGUAAAUUUUAGGAAUUUUAUGUUUAUUCAUAUUUCUUUAUAAUAAUAAAGUGAAUUUACUAGAUGUUUGUAUUUUCUUUUAAAUUGUUAAUUAAAUUGGUACCUUGACUAUUUUGUUGGUUCUGGAGUAUAAAUAAGGCAAAUUCUACCUCAUUUAACCACUACUUCAAGGGAGAUACUUUUUAUUAUUAUUUUAAGUUCUUUUAUGUGCUCCUAUGUGUUUUUUAUAUGUGUGAUUGCGUGUUUUAACUGUCUUUUCUUUUAUUUUAUCUUAUUCAUUUUUAGCUUUCAUUUAUUUUAUUUAUUUAAAUUUUGAUGAUUAUUUGGAAGGUAUUUAAAAACCAAAUUGUAAUAGAUAGGUGUCCAAAAAAUGUAUUCAGUUAGGCCAUGUAAUUAGUUAGAUAGAUUUUAUUUUCACCGAAAUUGUAAUUAGUUAGAUAAAUGUAAUAGAUAGGUUUAUUAUUUUCAAAAUUCCCCUUCUACAUUGUAAUUAGGGUCCCCAAUAUAAUAGUUAGUUUUUAUUUGCUUCCAUGCUUGUGCGCUUAUGUAUUUUAUUCGUUUUUUCUAGGAUUUUGUAUCUAAAUAUUAUGCAUAUGUGCUAUGUGCUCUACAUACUUUAUAUGUUUUAUGGGUUUUAAUUAUGUUUUAUAUGUUUUAUUUAUUUAUAAUAAAUGCAUGACGUCGCCGCACUAGUCCAAUACUAGUUGUGACAUUUCUCCCCGAUUUCUCACUAGUCCAAUGCUAGUGAGAACUUGUAAAAAUGGGUUAGUCCAAUACUAGACCUUUUAGAUAAUUUUCGCGCUAAAUUCAUACAUUGUGUGACACUUAUUGCAUCUCAUGUAUUUUUUUCCUAUUUUUAGGUUAUUUUCAAUUGGAUGACAUUUCCCCUACUAUCAUUCCUUUACCCUCUAUAUAUUUGGACCAUAUCAUUUAGAAUUGCAUUUCAUUCUAGGAAAUGAGAAAUAGACUAGUCCACUUGGUUGACAAGGUUAAGAGAGUCACCCUUCGAAUAUGAGAAAUGGGUGAGUAUGACUUUUUAAAUUUAGCACGCUAUUACCCCUCUAUAAGAAGAAAAAUUGAAUCACGAAUUUUAGUCUCUCAUACCCAUUAUAUUGCAUUCCCCUUUUCUAGGUCAUGUACAUUUAUCUAUGUUAUAAUUUCCUUUUUGAGUCUCAUCUUUUGCACUUUUCAUGAUCUCUUCAAAUAAUCAUUUCUGGACAUCACAAUUAAUGUGAUUAGUACCAAUUAAAUUUUGAAGAGACAUUUUGACCCUCCCAAUAUCCUUUAGAUCUAGAUUUGCAUCCAUAUAUAAACAUCCAAAAUGUGAUAAGUUUUAUAUAUUAAAUUAGAAAAAAUUUCGACUAAAUCUCGCAACUACUCUUAGUUAGGUUGAAAGAGAGGCUUAAAUUGAAUAUUUGCCUUCCCUUUCUUCAAACAUGAUUCCCGAAUUCUUUUAUUUUAUUUUCAAAGAUUUGGAGUCCUCUAAAAGGGUUUUAUUUAUUUUUAUUUAAAAUAUAUUUUUGGUGAGUUGAUACACCUAAACUCAAUACUAAGUGCGCGACUCUACUCUUUUCUAAAAAAUCCUUUUUAGACUAUUAUUUUGGACUCAAACCGUCGCAUAUUUUAAGUUCCAUUUUAACCUUUUUUUUAUUUAUUUUUUAAAAUCAAAAACUCUUUUUUUUAACACUAUUUUUUCUUUUAUUUUCAAGAAUAAGGUGCGACAAACCCUAAACUAAACGACAUUCCAUGACCUCAAAAAGUAAUCCACAGUGGAUUUAAGGAUGGGACGUUGAGAUUCACAUGCUUAUUAUGCUUGUUGGCUGGCAUCAGUUGCGUCUAUAGUUGGAGCACCCAUUAUUGUGUUUGUCUUUGUCCCCGAUCAAACUAGGCCCCAGCUUAGCAUCUUCCGCAGGGCGUCACCUGCUGAUGUACCCUUCUGUCUGCAGUCUGAGAUUCACAUGCUUAUUAUGCUUGUUGGCUGGCAUCAGUUGCGUCUAUAGUUGGAGCACCCAUUAUUGUGUUUGUCUUUGUCCCCGAUCAAACUAGGCCCCAGCUUAGCAUCUUCCGCAGGGCGUCACCUGCUGAUGUACCCUUCUGUCUGCAGUCUGGCUCUUACCAUUAUUUAUGACACUGACUUUCCCAUACCAUUUGCAUUUUCUGUGGUGAGAAUUUUUCUACGAGAAUUAUCUCAUUGUUUUUACUUUUCCUUUUUUUUUUCUCUCUUUGUUUUUUUGGAGAAUAAUAAUGUAUUGGCAUGCUUUUUUAAAAUCUGAACCAUGAAAAUAUUCACAAGUCAUUCAUUUAUCGUGUUCUGCUUCUUUUUUAUAUGUUGGAACUUAGAGAUGGAAUAACUGAGAAUUGAGCUUGCGAGAUACUAACAAAAGUUUGAAUGUCUUUCAAGAUAAAGUGACACUUCCUUCAAAAAGAUAAAGUGACACUUAGCGAAUGAAUAAAUGACAAUUGAGUAUGCCAUUUACUAAGGAAAAGCCUAAUGUAUUUGAAGACAAAGUGACCACUUUAUGAAAGUUAUUCACGAAUGAUAAAAUCAGAAGUUGAGAUACGGGGAUAGGUUACGACUACGGUAGAAAGUUCACUUUUCUUCCCAUAGCAGGCAGAAGCAAUGCAAGGAGGCCAACUGUGCUUUGUGGGACGCACGAAGAAGGAUAUCCGGACAACACUGAGAAAGCCGGUUGUGCGUGAAUGAAAAAAUAUAAUACAUUUUAAAAUCACAAUAAAAGUUCUCUUAAAAAUUUAUUUAUCAUCUAAUGCCCAAUACUUAUAUUUGUUAAAUUAAAACAGUUAAUUAAAUAUUUUAUUAUAACAUAAACAACUAUAUGUCAUUGAGUUGAUUGAAUAAUAUUUUCUUUUCUUUUUUUGGCAUUUCAACUAGUUGUCAAUUAAAUUUCAAUUGAAAUAAAGAUUUUAUAAUUAUUUAAAUUAUUCAAUAAAAUUAUCAAUUUAAGAUGAACAUAAAUAUAUGGGGAUAAGAUCAUAAGGCUAGAAAAGUUGAGAUAUGGGGACAAGACUACUAGUAUUUGAGGUACCCUUGCGUAUUUGUAGAAGCCCGGUGGGUAAAAUAUAUAUAUAUAUAUGUAUGUAUAUGUGUGUGUUUGUUUAAUGCUUAUUUCUAUAUAUGUGUAUAUAUAAUGCUUAUUUAUGUCCACUUGUUAAGUUUUUAUAUGUUGUUCUUUUUAGUUUAUGUCAGCAUAAUGGUUAUUAUUUUUAGUUAAAUUUAUUAACCAAACAAAAUGUACCACAUUUCAACAUGUUGCACACGUUGAAAAAAAGACUUCCAACAACAUCUUGAAUUUCAAUUUUUUAAUAUGGUAAAAUUAUUUUGGUACUUAAAUUUUCAAGUCCAUAUCAUCUCAACUCCACCGACGUUGGAUUCCUCAACUUAAAGCUUAAAAACUGAAUGCUUUUCUUUCAAUUUCUAUGUCUCAUGGUUUUCUCGUGGUUUCAAUGAAAAAUAAAUAAAUAACAAAGCUAUAUAUGUUUCUAAAUUGAUAUCACAAGAGAGAAGAAAAAAAAGGUACUGAAAGGGUGAAUUUAUCAAUUUAUUAAUUUGAUUUUGAUUUUUUACUAUUGACCAUUCAUCUUAACAGAAGAGCUAAUGGUGACACUUUACCCAAAUCAUGAGAGCUUAUAUAUAGUUUUUUGAAGUAGGGAGAGUUAUGUGAUAAAUCACCAAAUUACAAGGGGGUAAAAGGUAAUUUACACAAAAAAUCAUCAUUCCGAGACUUCCCAUACAGUCAUACACGUGAUAUCGGACAACUAUUUAGUGCAGCUGUAUUUUGUGCAGUUGUAUCUGGUUGUUGUGCGUGUUCAAAUAUACAUAUGAAAAUAUUGUACUAAAUAUAUGUCAAAUAUCUUAUUCUUAUACACCACUUUUAUUACGAAUACAAAACAAUAAUAUAAUAUUAUUAUACACUAAAUAAUAUAAAAAGUACAAUACCCGAAAGACCCCCAACGGCACUAAAUCCUUUCCCCAACACAAAAACCAACUAAAAACAAACUUUUACAUGUCUGGCUUCUCUGGCUUUUUGGCGAGAGAAAUGAUAAGAUUAUUAUAGUAGGCUUUGCCCAAGGGGAGAACCUUUGCUGCAUGCUUCGCAAACCUGUGGAAUAUGUCAGGUAUAAUAGCUUCUCCAAAAUGACUUGCGAGGAUGGGUUCGUAAACUGCUCUAACGGAAGAUGCAACAUACUCUGCUUUAAUAUGUUCAUCGCUGUAUACUUGGACAUGGGAUCUUACUGGGUAAUUAUCAUCAAUAGAGAAGCCAGCAUCAUAAAGGACCUUAAAAGUCUCCAGGUAUAAAAUUUCAAAAGAACCUUCCUCCUCAACUAUGCACUUUACUUCUUCUGCUGAAGGUAUAUAGACUGGAAGAUUGAAACUAUCCAAUUUUUCUUCCUCCAGAUGUCCCUGCAGAUAUGCCAAUCAUCAAUUCAAUUCAAAUUAUUCGAAGCACGAGACUUGGAAAUUAACCAAUUUGCUCAAACCUCAACUCUAGGAAAAAAAAGGGUACAGUUUUUUUCCUUAAUUUCAAUAUGAAAAUAUUAUUACUACUUGUGCUUUUAGUUCAUAUUAUUAUUUUUUCCAAUACCUUUUUAACCAAAAAGGGGGGAAAAAAGAUAGCCGACAAAUUAAAUCCCCCUAUAUUUCUAACUUGAAAGAAUUAUCUUAACUGUAUUGGAGUUGUGUGACCUAACUUCGAAUUAAAGGUUACUACCAUCUGAUUUACACGGUGAACUUGGUCUACACAAAGUUUAUUGUAUCAAGGUUACAAAAAAUAAAAUUGCAUCCAUUUUGCAGCUAAGGUAGGAACCCUAAUAAGCUAGCUAGCUAUCUAGUUUAUUUCAGAUAACAAGCAAUGAGCAUCUGAUCAUCAAAGAGACAGAGAAAUGAUAACCUCAACAACCAAGUCGUUUAUUGCCAUCUCAAGUAAGUCUAUGGCAUUCAGGGCGUCGAAUUCAACUCCUUUACAAAUGCAAGUAAGGAGCAUUCGGCCAUGUGAAAACAACUCUUCCGAAUGAAUCCUUAGAAAUGUGGUAAAAUCUUUCGUAAAUUGAUCCAAAUAUGCCUUCUGGACGGGCAGACGACUUGCUUUGGAAGAGUAAAUGCUCCCUUUGUUCGUACUGAUCCCCAAUUCAGUCACCAAACCGCUAGGAACCUGCACGUCCAGAGCUGGUAACUUAUAUAGUUGGAUCAUUUUGUUAGUGUUGCAUGUGGGAAUAUAAAUCAUGAGCCACGACUUGAAUAAAAUAUGUUAUUAGUUUCUUCAGAAAUCUCUUUCUUGGAUUCCUGUGGAUAUCUUGAGAAUUAUUAAAGAAAUUUCCAUGCAUAGUUACUAAUGUGUUGAAUGAAAAUCAUGAACUAUUUUUGCUACAAGAAAAAGUAAAAAGAUAAAAGGGAUUAACUCAAAGACCUGAGAUAACCAAUGAAGACAGUAACAAGAGUGUAAAAAAUGCAUGGACUCCUCGGGGAAGAGUCUGCUGUAGAAAGAGCCAGGCAUUGCCCCUAUUAGGCACGAUCCUAUUUUGCGCCCAUUUUCUUUCUCAAGUUUGCGGUAGAAGCUUGGCAGCAACUUGAAAACCGAAUUGAAAUCAUUUUGGAAAAGAUCAUUCAGAAAAAUCUGAAUGGUGGGACGUUCUAAUUCAUUCUUCUUUUCCUGGCCAACUUUGUCAAUACUUUGGACAAUGUCCCGAACUGUUAAAAGUGUGUUUGGUCCAGAAGCGCAUCCCAAAUCCGCAACUUUAAUGCACUUGUUGAUGUUGGGCAAGCUGGCCCGCAACAAUUCUCGUAUGCAUUGUUCAAGGACAGGUUUCACCUUGUUAAGAACCAGAUGCUACACAUACCACUCCAAAAUACAAAUGUUAAGGGGGGAAAAAAGACAUACUAAGUUAGAGAUCGACGUAUCAUAGCAUGAUUUACUACUACUCUGUGUGUGUGUGUGUGUUAAAGAGAGAUAGAGAGACAGACAGACAUUGUAGGCUGAAUUCUUGGCGUAGCUUGUAUCGCCUUCGCCUCCAUUCAUCCGCAGGACUUCUUGGAGCUCCAUUCAUAUGCAGGACUUGUACAUAAAUCGAAUUGGGACUGCCAAAGAAGGUGUCCGUUAAUGAUUAAUUGUGCAAAAUUUGGGCUUAAAUAGCGAAAAUUUUAUAGAUGCGUAUGCUAACUAGCUGUCUACGUCCGUAGAAAAGUCUGUCAAUUGGUCAGAAAGAAAGCGCACAGCCAAUGGGAACCAGACACGAAUGAUAAAAUCAGAAAUUGAGAUAUGGGGAUAAAACAUCUUAUCUUAUAUAGAAAAAGUCAAGACUUCUACUCCCACAUUGAGCCACAUGCCUGCAUUUGGGAAGGGAAUCCACCGUAGCAUAUUGAUAAGUGUAUAUUUGGAGCAUUUUAAACGUGUUUUAUUAAUUAGUUUUGGUAUAUUUUAAUUAAUUUUAUAGCCAAUUAAUUAAGUUUCUAGUGAAAAUAUACAUUUUGUGGUUUAAGUAUCAAAAAUUACAUUUCUAUGGAUUUUAAUGGUAAAAAUUUCAUGUUUUUGUAUGUUCAAUGAUUCAAUCAUCAAUUGGAAUAACUUGAGAAGAUAUUUGGAUAAUUGUUGAUGAUUUGAAAUGAUUUAAAGAAAACAUGAACUGCCAAAUGUUCAAAAGAGGAAAUGCAAUCAAGAAUAAAAGAAAGGGAGUUUUCCAACUUUGAUACCUUGUAGUAUUUCGCCUAUAUCUUGAGUUACAAGCAUUGAAUAGAGGUGAUUCUUAAACUAUUUUGAAACUAAAAGAUAGCUCUAUAUUUGAUAUGAAGAUCGAAAUCCACUUUAGUCGUUUUCCUUGUCAAAAUGUCGAAAUACAGAAGUACAUUUUUAUUGUCAAAAACUAAAACAGAGUUCUGACUAGUCGAGGGUAUUUUGGUCAUUUCUUGAUCCACAGAUCUCCAAAUUGGAUGAUUCUUGAAGGCAUUGGAAAGUUAAUUCAAAAGGCUAUAACUUUCAUACUUUUUACAAGAGAUAGUUCAGCCUCUAUCACCAAGAAAAUAUCAAUUGACAUUGGACCAAAAAUAGAGCAAAGAGAAGACUUGAUCAGAAAUGAGCAAACCUGAAAAAGAGAAAAACGUGGGUACAAUAUGCGACCUUAGUUCACGUUAUAGUACAAAUUGGUAUAAUCAAUGUAUUUAUAGUGAUUCUCAAUGUUAUCAUGAUUACCUACCCGAGUGUGUCCAAUAUGAAUCUAAACUAUCUUGAAAAUUAGCCAUAGAAAAGUUAGCUAAUGCAACCUCCGAUCUUUUUGAUAGGGUUGAGCAAAGAUUAGAUGAAUUAACUUCUCAUUUUGGUAGAAUACAAGAUCAAUUACAUGUUUUGUGUGAAGUUAUUUUUUCUAAUUAUGUGCAAAAUUAUCCUAGCAUGAAUGAUGGGAAUGUUGUAUGUGGAAAUGGAUUGCAUUUUGAUGAAAAUGAUGCAUCUAAUAUAUGUUUCAAUGAGAAAUUGUCCAUUUCACAAGAUCAUAUCCUUGGAACUAACUUUGAACCUCAAGAGAUGAGCAUCAAGGACUCAUUUUUCAUCCAUCUUGAGAAAUGUGUUAAAAGCAUAGGUUCUAAAUAUAUCGUCACCCAAGAAAGGCAAGUGGAUGUUCAUUUGGUGAGCACUCAAGUGACGCACAUUCAAGGUUUUAUCUAUCUAUAACUUGAGAUAUGUAAGCCUCUUCCACAUCUCAUAUCAUUAGAACAUGUGGCUUUGAUAUCAAGCCACCAUUUAUUGAUCCACCAUGUCUUCUAAUGAUGAAUUAUUCAUUGACAAAAUCUCAAAAAAUGAAAUUAUAUAGUCAAACCAAUGACUAUAAACAAAAGCGCUAGUUGGGAGGUAACCCAAUAUUUUGAUAAUUUAUGUUAAUUUAGUGUGAUUUUAUAUUUAAAUUAUGCAUUUAAAUUGUUUUGUUGUUUUUCUUUUAUAGGUUUGGGAAAUAGAAGCAAAAGUGAUCAAAUGAGAUGAAAAAGGUGAAAUUUGAUUGAGGAACUCCACCUCUUGAUUUGAAUAUUUAAUGUUUUUGAUUCGUUAAAGAGAGGUAAAAUGUAUAUUUUGAUCAUUUUACAUGUGUGUGCAUUGUUUCGCUAGGGUUUCUCUCUAGAGACCUUCGCUAGGGUUUCCCAAUGAAGAUCUUCAAAUGGUCCCCGGCCUUUCAUGUAGACAAAGAACCCUCCGUUGUCCCGGUUUGGUUCCAGCUACACAAGUUGCCGUUGCACUACUUCCACAAAGAAGCGAUCUUCCAGAUUGUGUCGGUUUUAGGUGUUCCUUUAUUCGUUGAUGCUGCAACAUUGGCUACCUCCAGGCCAAGUCUUGCGAGAGUUUGUGUUGAAAUAGACUUGUUCCAAGCCAGGCCAUCACGGGGGUGGGUUGGCAAUGGAAAGUAUGAGGGUUUCUGGCAGAGCUUUAUCCCUGAAAACACUCCCAAAUAUUGUUCUCACUGUUAUCGGCAGGGGCAUGACAUUGAGGGUUGUUAUGUCCUGAAACCAGAGCUUCGCCCUCCUAGGGCGGAGAAGCCCUACCAACGGGUAAAAGAUAGGAGUCAGACAUCGGAGCCAUAGGGGAUGCAGCGUGUGGAGAGCCGGCAGCCUCUGGUUGGGGCUCGGGCGGGGAUGUCUUCAACAACUGCUGAGCUGGGGGCGACAGCAGAGGGGGACGUUUCCGGUGGGGAGCAACCUGCUGGCGGGCUAGGAGAGGAGGAAACGCUCGUACAUGGUGCAGGCUGGGAGCAUAGCGUUGCCUGCAGCGAGCAGCGAGAAGGAGCAGUGGAGCGGUGGUGGACUGAUGGCAGACGAAGGGGAAGAGGGGCAGCAGUUACGCUCGCUGCCCGUAGCGGCAGUGGUUAUGGAGGGCACAGGCGAUGCCGACGGGCUGAAUGCGAGGGACUUGCAGCAGCGGCAGCAGCUUGGUCCUGGGGCUGACAUGGAGCUGAUUGUUGACCUGCGUGAUAUUCAAAAGCGGUUGGAAGUCUCUCUCCUCGCGGUACUUCGAAAUUCAAAACCCAGAGGGGUAGUGCGUCACUCUCCGACACACUUCAUCUGGAUUCGAUUGCCGAAACAACUGUUGCAUUGUUGCAUUCGCCUCAAGGAGAAGGACCCCUGGGCACGGCUCAGUCGAAACAACGGGGCAUCCGUGCUCGAUUCCUGUCCGAUCGUACUUUGUGCUCAAGUAAGUCAUCUUCAUCUAAUUCCUUUGCCAGUCUCUCUAAUGAUUAAAAUGCUGUUUUGAAAUAUAAAGGGACUUACUCACGCCCCCAACUUGAGAAGAUUAAAAAAAUUGGUCAAGUUACACUCUUUACAAUUGGUAGCGAUUUGUGAGUUGAAAGUGGCCUUACGAAACAUUGAUAAUGUGCUACUGAAAUUGGGAAUGAAUCUUAGUAUCUCGAACCAAUGGGAUACCAUUUGGAUUUUUUAUAAAUCGAUUCUCUCUUGCUCUGUUGUUGGAGAAUCCUGUCAGCAUGUCUCGCUCCAUGUUCACUGCCCUAUGUUCCCGUCUACCGUUUGUCUCUCCUUAGUUCAUGCCAAGUGCACUGUGCAAGAGCGUGAGACGCUAUGGGCAGAAUUGUUAUUGGAUAGUGUUGACCUUGGUUCAUAACUUUUGAUGAUUACAAAACAAAUGCAUGUUGCUAACAUCUCCUCAAAGGCUUUUUCAGAAAUGAAACAAAUCAGGUUCAAAGAUUAAGCACAUUUGAAAAAGACAGAGUAUGCUGAACCUGUCGGACGCUCAAGAAGAUAGUACCGGACGUCCGAUAAUCAUUGCACAACUUCGGACGAAUGCUUCGGACGUCCAAUAGGAUCCUUCGAAGUCGACGAAUCUAUCGGACGCUGAAUAUGUCUCUACUGGACGUCCGAUAGAAACAAGAUAAUUUCUCAAAUCUCUUUGUUUGCUGUCGGACGCACAAAAGGCUUGCAUCGGACGUCCGAAAGAAUUGAAGAAAAUCUCUUCAACUCACUGCCUACUGUCGGACGUAUAAAACAGGGCUAUCGGACGCAUAAAACAGGGCUAUCGGACGUCCGACACUCCAACGGCUAGUUGACUCUUCAGCUACUUUAUAUCCGUUGGAAACAUUAAUGAGACACUUUCUUGAUCCUAUAUAAAUAGUGGUUGGUCAGAUAUUUCAAACAACUUUGGCACACUGAAGAUACAAAAGAUCUAGAGUGAUUUUAGUGAGAAAAUACUCUUCAAAGAAGAUUUGUAGUCUUAGUGGUGUGAGGUUCAUUGUAAGCUUUUCAUUUGUGAGUGAAUACUUCAUGAGUGUAGCUCUGUGAGGGUUGUCUUGAGGGAUAGUAAAACGUCCUGGCUUGACCGAGUGGAGUUCGGGGCAAGGAGGAGGUGAACCUUCCUUUGUACACAAGAGUGAUUGUAAUUCAUCAACUUGAAGUAGCUUGUUUAAAUUAACCUACAAGUUCAAGAGGAGCUGCGUAGUUAAUUGGUUUGCUAUUCUUUCCUUUUUAUUUACUUAUUGUUACGUUUGUGUUCUUUAAAUUGAUUAUCUCUUCUACUUCCAAACAGUCUUGCUUUCUUGUUAAUUGUCUCAUUGGUUAUCUUCGAGCCUUACAAUUGGUAUCAGAGCUUGGUCUCCUUGAGAUUAAGCUCAAUCGGCUUUGGAGUAAAGAUGACAACCAAUAAUGCUAUAUUUUUUGAAGGACAUUCUGUCAUUAGACCACCUAUGUUUAAUGGGUCAAAUUAUGUGAGUUGGAAAGAAAGAAUGAUUAUUUUUUUACAAUCUAUUGAUAUUGAAUUAUGGUUUAUUAUUAGUGAAGAUCCAUAUGAUGUUUCUCUUAUAGAUGAAAAUACUCAUAGAUCUAAACCAAAAAUAAGAAAUGAACUGACUGCUAUGGAUAGAGCUCAUCUCACCUUAAAUGCAAAAGCCAUGAAUGUGUUACAUUGUGCUUUAGACUCAAAUGAAUCUAUUAGAGUCAAAGGCUGCAAGUCAGCCAAGGAAAUUUGGGAUAAACUGAGAGAAAUUCAUGAAGGUAGUGAGAAUGUUAGAGAACAAAAGAAGUCCAUUCUGGUUACCAAAUAUGAAUCGUUCAAGAUGGAAUCUCAUGAAAACAUUGAUGAGAUGUACUGUAGAUUCAAUGACCUCACUAAGGACUUAGAGGUGCUGGAAAAAGAAUAUUCUCUAGGUGAGAAAAAUAGAAAAAUCCUGAAUGCCUUGUCCAAUGAUUGGGAAAAUAAAGUGACUGCUAUUGAGGAGGCUAAAGAUUUGAAUACUAUGCCUAUUGAAUCUCUUGUUAAUUCUCUAAUCUCUUAUGAGCUGAAACUUAAAUCCAAAGUGCAAGAGGAGGAGGAUGCGAAAGUAAGAAGGAGCAUUGCUUUAAAGGCAUCUCAAGAUGAAGAUGAUUCUGCCUCCCUAGAUGAAGAAAAUGUGGAAGUUGAUGACAGUGAUCUUGCUCUCAUCACAAGAAGUUUCAAGAGGAUUCUCAACAAAAAGAGAUUUAGAAGAGGAGGAUCUAGCAAUUCAGAUUCUAAUCAAUUCAACAAUGCAAAAAAUAAAGGAAGAUAUGAGGCCAACAAAAAGCAAGAUGACAAGUGUUUUGAAUGCGGCCAACCUGGACAUUAUGCAAGUGAGUGUCCAGUAAAGAAGAGAAAAGGUGAAAGAAAACCCAGAUUCAAUAACUUCCAGUUCACAUAGAAUGAAUGCAACUCCGUCGGUGAAAUUGAAGAGGAAGAAGAAUCUGCUCAAUUGGCUUUCAUGGCCAUUGGAGAUGAUGAGGUAACAACUUGUAACUCUCAAUUUGAAAGUGAUGAUGAAACUGAUGAUGAUCUUGAAUCUUUCAUUUUAAAAUUGCAUGAUAGUUUGAAAGAAUCUUAUACUAGAAACAAGGAGUUAAAACAGAAAAUUAGUUUUUUGUUUCGAGAUAAUGCAAAUCUUUUUCAACAAAAUAAAAAGUUGAAUGCUGAAAAUGAUUUCUUCAAAAAGAGUGAGACUGCUUUACACUUUGAGUUUGAUAGAAAAAUAAAGCUUUGUGAAUUGUUCAAAAAGGAACAAGGUGAUUUGAAAAGAAGAAUGGAUGGUUUAAAUGAGUUGCUCCAAUAUAAAAAAUAAGACUGUUUUCAAAGUAAUAAAUCAAAAUCUCAUUUUGGCACUCAUCAGAUAAGACUGAAUCAAUAUGCAAAUGAGUUUGCUAUCCAUAGGAAAAGGCAAGUCAGAUUUUUUAAACCCGUUCAUGUGAAUAACUCUUUGGUUAUGUGUAAUUUUUGUUGUCAAAAAGGUCACAUGAAAAGUGAUUGUUAUGUGAGAAAAAAUAUGAGAAGAGGCAUGAAAUGCAUGUGGAUAGUUAAACAUGAUGCUAACUCUAACAAGUAGGGGAUAUUGGUAAAAUUGAUGAGAUUCUUGUUCAUAAUGCUUUUCUGUAAUUCUUUUUUGAAGUUUCUGAUGCUUAGAACUGUUUUUUUUUUCUUGAUAUUUUUUAAUAUUACUGAAUUUAUAUGAUGUCAAAAAGAAAGAAAAAAGAAUAAUUCUGAUCUCAUGAUGAUUUGCUAUGAUUGCUGUCAUUUCUCUGUUUUUUAUUUGAAUUAUUGGAUUCUCUGUUAUUAUUGCUGAUUUUUGGUAGCUGAUUUUUACUCUCAUCUUAUGAUGACAAAAAGGGAGAGAAAUGGAUGCUAUGUGUAAGGGGGAGUUAUUCUGAAUUCAUAAGUUUAGAUGCCUUGUAUGAGGGGGAGAAAUGGAUGCUAUGUGUAAGGGGGAGUUAUUCUGAAUUCAUAAGUUUAGAUGCAUUGUGUGAGGGGGAGUUUAUGCUCAUAUGCUCAAUAUUUUUUUUCUUCCAUCCAUUGUUUUGUCAUCAUCAAAAAGGGGAAGAAUGUUAACCUUGGUUCCUAACUUUUGAUGAUUACAAAACAAAUGGAUGUUGCUAACAUCUCCUCAAAGGCUUUUUCAGAAAUGAAACAAAUCAGGUUCAAAGAUUAAGCACAUUUGAAAAAGACAGAGUAUAUUGAACCUGUCGGACGCUCAAGAAGACAGUACCGGACGUCCGAUAAUCAUUGCACAACUUCGGACGAAUGCUUCGGACGUGUCCAAUAGGAUCCUUCGAAGUCGACGAAUCUAUCGGACGCUGAAUAUGUCUCUACCGGACGUCCGAUAGAAACAAGAUAAUUUCUCAAAUCUCUUUGUUUGCUGUCGGACGCACAAAAAGCUUGCAUCGGACGUCCGAAAGAAUUGAAGAAAAUCUCUUCAACUCACUGCCUGCUGUCGGACGCAUAAAACAGGGCUAUCGGACGUCCGACACUCCAACGGCUAGUUGACUCUUCAGCUACUUUCUAUCCGUUGGAAACAUUAAUGAGGCACUUUCUUGAUCCUAUAUAAAUAGUGGUUGGUCAGAUAUUUCAAACAACUUUGGCACACUGAAGAUACAAAAGAUCUAGAGUGAUUUUAGUGAGAAAAUACUCUUCAAAGAAGAUUUGUAGUCUUAGUGGUGUGAGGUUCAUUGUAAGCUUUUCAUUUGUGAGUGAAUACUUCAUGAGUGUAGCUCUGUGAGGGUUGUCUUGAGGGAUAGUAAAACGUCCUGGCUUGACCGAGUGGAGUUCGGGGCAAGGAGGAGGUGAACAUUCCUUUGUACACAAGAGUGAUUGUAAUUCAUCAACUUGAAGUAGCUUGUUUAAAUUAACCUACAAGUUCAAGAGGAGCUGCGUAGUUAAUUGGUUUGCUAUUCUUUCCUUUUUAUUUACUUAUUGUUACGUUUGUGUUCUUUAAAUUGAUUAUCACUUCUACUUCCAAACAGUCUUGCUUUCUUGUUAAUUGUCUCAUUGGUUGUCUUCGGGCCUUACAGAUAGUCCGUCUGGGAUCCCUUGGUGUUUGGCUGGAGACUUUAAUGUGAUUGUUAAUAAGGAGGAGAAGCGAGGGGGGUUGCCAUUUCGCCUGAGUGAAGGGUUAGGAUUUUUUUCAAUUCAUGAUGGAGACUGGAGUAUCUGACGCGGGUUUCUCUGGCUCAAAUUACACUUGGUGCAAUAAUAGGCAAGGGCGGGCUCGAGUAUGGAAACACCUCAAUAGAGUGCUUCUAAACUUGGAGGCUUUGCAGAUAGCUUCUAGCAUUCUGGUGCAGCACUUGGCGAGGGAUUCAUCGAACCAUGCCCUACUCUUGAUGACAGCUCCUACUUGGUUGGACAAUAAACCGAAACCCUUCCGGUUCUUAAAUGUUUGGACCAGAAAAGCAGGACUGUUAGAUGUCAUACGCGAUAGCUGGUCGUGUCCAGUGAGCGGACAGUCUCUGUGUGUUUUGGCAGCCAAGUUUCAUACAAUCAAGCAGGUACUGAAGGGAUGGUCUAGGGAGUCUUUUGGCGACAUCUUUCGGGCUGUUAAAGAAGCGGAACGGGCGGCGUUGGAGGCAGAAGUAGCCCAGGGGCAGGACUCGUCUGACCCUGUUUUACAUGAUUUAAAUUAUGCCCGAGAGCGGCUUAGGCAUACGUUGGCUAUUGAGGAAGGUUUUUGGAGACAAAAGGCUAGGGCAAGGUGGUUGAAGGAUGGUGAUAGAAAUUCAAAGUAAUUCCAUGCGGUGGUGGCUGAGAGGAGGAGCAGGGCGAUCAUCCUCAAGAUCCGUGAUUCCAAUGGCAAAUAGGUAAAGGCUGAGGAGCACAUCGGUAGAGAGGCAAUUUCCUUUUUCCAGAGGUUGUUCACGGCUGAGCCGUGCUCCUCCUCUAGUGAGUUCUUAGACACUAUUCCUAAGCUAGUUACGGCUGGUGAUAAAACCCAACUCAUGGAGCCUCCCACCAUGGCUGAAGUAAAGAAGGUGGUUUUCUUGAUGGAUGGAGAGUGUGCCGCUGGCCCAGAUGGAUUUACAGGCAAAUUCUUUACUUUUGCUUGGGAUGUGGUUGCGGAGGACGUGUAUAAGACUGUCGUAAGUUUUUUCUGCAGGGCAGAGUUGCCACGCAGCAUUACUACCACUACUAUUGUCUUGAUUCCUCAGGUUCAGUGCCCCCAAGAUUUCACACAAUAUCGUCCGAUAAGCCUUUGUAAUUUUAUUAAUAAAGUGCUUCCACGCAUUCUUUCGGAUCGUCUGGCUCAGAUUUUACCCAGGAUCAUAUCCGCCCAACAGAGUUGCUUUGUUAAAGGGCAACAGAUCUCGGACAACUUCUUGUUGGCGCAAAAACUUGUGUCGGAUAUCGGGAAGCUGACCCGUGGUGGAAAUGUUGUGAUCAAACUGGACAUGAUGAAAACUAAUGACCGUGUGUCAUGGUGCUUCCUUUUGCAGGUUCUGCAGCACUUUGGGUUUUCUGAGACAUGGAUAGAUGCCAUUUGGCGGCUGGUCUCCAACAUAUGGUUCUCGGUACUGAUAAACGGGGUGCCGCACAAUUUUUUCUGGUCCACGCGUGGUUUGAGACAGGGUGAUCCAUUAUCUCCUGCCCCGUUUGUCAUUGGUGCUGAAGCCCUCUCCAGGGCUUUGAACGCCUUGGUAGAUCAACGCCAAUUCCACCAGUAUAAGGUUUCGAUUGGUUGCCCGGUCGUCACACAUCUGUCUUUUGCGGAUGAUAUGGUCAUUUUCACUAACGAUUUGAAAUCUUCUUUGCACCUCUUAGGGAGGGUCCUAGAGGAGUAUUGUGCAGUCUCGAGUCAGAAGGUUAAUAAGCAAAAGAGCUGUUUCCUGGUGCACCCUUGCCUCGAGUCACAUCGCUGCAGGAUUAUCAGACAGUUAACGGGAUUUCAGAGGAGGAAGUUCCUGGUCAGGUACCUGGGAUGCCCGCUAUUCAUAGGCCGACGUAAGAAGGAAUACUUUGGGGACAUUUGCAAGGGCAUUGUCAACAAAAUUUUAUCGUGGAAGUAGCGGAUUCUAUCGUUUGGGGGAAAAGUGGUGCUGCUCAAGCAUGUUCUAUCCUCGUUGCCGAUUCAUUUGUUGGCGGCAGCGUCACCUCCCAAGGGAGUCUUGCGAGAGAAAGAGAGAGUUAUGGCUGGUUUUUUAUCGGGUGCGUCUGACCUUAGACCGAGGUUUCAUUGGAUGAAAUGGACAGACCUGUGUCGGCCAUAUAGAGAAGGGGGAUUAGGCCUCCGGCGGCCGACUGAGGUUUAUCAAGCUUUUUUCAUAAAGCUAUGGUGGAAUUUCAGAUAUGGUCGUUCUCUGUGGGUUUCCUUUGUGGCUUCCAAGUAUUGUAGAGGGAGGCACCCUUGCCUUGCGGAGAAGAGGACAGGGAGUUCUUACACUUGGAGACAUAUGAGUGCGGUUCAGGGUAUCGUGGAGAACAACAUCAGUUGGAUUGUUAGGUCAGGAUCAAUGGAUUUCUGGCAUGAUAACUGGCCAGCCCACUGUGUCACCGAGUGGAGAUUUUCCAGAACCAGCGGGUGGUGGACUUUGUUAAUGGAGGGGAAUGGAAUAUUCGAUUACUCUCGCAGGUCUUGCAGCCGGAGCUAGUGCGGCUGGUGCUGGAGACCUCGCCUCCGACACUUCAAGAAGAGGACAGGAUGGUAUGGUAUGGAUGCCAAUCUCUAGUUGGGAGUUCUCAAUGGCCUCAGCUCUAUCGCUUGUUCGCACCCAUUCUAAUAGGUCUCUCGACGUCGCUUGUAUUUGGCACAGGUCCUUGCCAAUAACAAUAUCUUUUUUCAUGCUUCGCCUACUUUUCGAGAGGUUACCCUUACUCGAGCAGUUACGACAUGUGGGAAUUCAGGGUCCUUCUAGAUGUUGCUGCUGCUUCGUUCCCCAGGAAGAACAAUGGGAUCACGUCUUUUGCACUGGUGAAGCUGCUCGGCAGGUUUGGAAGGCGUUUGAAAUUCAAGAGGGAAUGGCGUCUCGUAUUAGCUCAGCUCGUCAUAUGGUCAUCUCGUGGUGGUUAUGCUCUGCUCCGAAUUGGUAUUUGUCCUUUGUCUAUCGUAUCCUUUCCUUUCUAAUUUGUUGGGAAUUGUGGAGAGCGAGAAAUUGUGCAUUAAUGCAAGGGAGGCGGUCAGAUUAGGGAAUGGUGGUGGCCCGAACCUUGACUCGGAUUAGGAAACUUUUGCAUAUACAAUUUCCUCUACUCCCAUGGCCUCAUGGCUCUUGGGAGAGCUUGUACACUGCCUUGGCGGCUUGGCCGCAACGGAGGUGCGUUUGGCCGGUGAAAUGGGUGGCCCCGAGUACUGGUUAUAAGUUUAAUACGGAUGGGUGUUCGCUGGACAACCCAGGUUUUAGUGGAGAGGGAGGGCUGUUGCGUGACUCCCAAGAAGCAGUGCUCUUUGGCUUUUCAUGUUACUUUGGUGUCAUCACCAGCCUGGAUGCGAAGUUAAAGGCCGUGGUAUUUGGGGUAAAAUAGUGUGCCGAUCGGGGGUAUAUGGAGUUGCACCUGGAGCUGGAUUCCUUAACCCUGGUUCGGAUCAUAUCAGGAGAUGAUGCAUGCCCCUGGUGAUUGCAGGUGGAACUGGACGAAAUGCUGCGGUAUCGAAGUCUAUGCCGGUCUGUAACGCACUGCUAUAGAGAGGCAAAUAAACCCUCAGACAGGCUGGCCAAGAUAGGUGCAAAUCGCGGAAAUGAUACUUUGUUUGAGUCCUUUGGAGCGCUACCCCCUAUGGUUCGCGAUGAUAUACGGAUGGAUAGGUUAGGUUUCCCUAGCUUUCGGAGAAAGAUCUUGUAGCUUGGCACUUGUUGAUGUAAUUGGCGUUUAUGACUGAAUAAAACAUUAUUUUUCUGCCAAAAAAAAACAUGUGUGUGUAUUGAUUAUUUUAGCAAAAGAAUGAAUGAUCUAGUGUGCAUUUUAAGCAAUAGGGGUACCAUAUGUAAUUUUAGAAAGUUGAAUCUUGUGUGGAAAAAUUGCAGAAGAAAACGCAGCCUCAUGGAAAAUGCGACCUUCGGUCACGUUUUCCUGAGGUCGCGUAUUCUGUUCUACAACUUAUCAACAAAAUACACGAGUACAGAAAACAUGACCUAAGGUCACGUUUUCAAUCUCGCAUAUUUAUUUCUACAAAAUUAAGGCAGAAAAUGUGAGCCUAAAAACACAGGCUCAAGCCCGCGUUUUUUAAGCUCUUUUUAGAAACGAAAAUGCAGGUUGCCUUAUUCUUCUUUUCUUCUUCUCCUCCUCACAUUUUCUCUCACAUACUAACACACACUUCACCAAUUUCAUCUUUUAUUCAAUUUUCUUGUAAGAAAUCAUCAACCAAACAUUAUUUGACCUUCAUAGAUCCUUUUUAACUGAUUAGAAUUCAAGAAAAAGAUCUCAAAAAUUGGUUGUUAGGGUUCAUAAUUUCCAAUUCCAUCAAUUGGAGGUCAAUUGGAGUGAUUUUCAUAGGACUUUUUACAUCAUUUGUAUCACCAAACAUCACUCUACCAAUCUAAGAUAAAUUUCUUGAACUUAAUUUGGUAUUUUAAAAUUCACCAUUUGCAUAUUUUUGAGUUUAUUGACAUACUUGGAAUGGUGAAUUUGUGAUGUUAUUUAUUGGUGUAUAUAAGUUCCAUUAUGUUUAUUUAACAUCUUUAAACAUAUUUAGAUGAUCAAAUGUGGGAAUGUGAUGAUUUAUGCAAUGUUUUAAUUCAUGCAUAUUCUUAUUUAUUGAUCAAUGUAAUAAUUGGUCUUAGAAUAUUGUUAAGCAUAAUUGGAUAGUUCAAAUUGGUAAAAUGUGACUUAUUCAUGAUGCUUACAUGUCUACAUUCAUUAUAUGGUGAUAUUUUAGCAAAUUUGAAUUUGUAAACUUUAGAGAAUGGCUAGUUUAUCUAGAUAAAGGAAAAUGAUACAUUUAAAUGAAAAUUUUUAGCUUAAUUUUCAUAUAAAACAUCAUUGGAUGAAGAGUUUUGAAUAUGUGAAGAAUUUAGCAAUUUGUAGAAUUUUAGGAGUAAAAAAUGUGUGAAGUGAAGUGUUUCAUUGUACCUUGAGUAGUUUCUUGUAUAUUUUAUAUGGGUACAUCGCCACGACAAAUGCGUAGAAGUUACGGAUCGCCGUUUUGUAUUUAUUAAUGCCUUUGUUAUCACCUUUGUUUCUCAUUUUUUAAUUCUUAGGUUUAAUUACUAAUGGUUAUCCAAUGGAACUAAUAAAGUUUUGGAGAUAAGCGGACAAUGGUUUGUGACACUUCAUGGUGCUUCAAUCAUAUCAAUAAGGGAGUAUUCCUUUUUUUUUUAUCUUGAUUUCCCUUUUUACACAUUGAAAACAAUGUAUAUGUUAAGUAUGAGGGGGGGAGAAUUAACAUUAUAUGUAUCGUAUGUAAUUGAUUUGUUGGUUGCAAAUAUUGGACUUGUGCUUGAAAAUGUUAUUGUACUUAGAAAUUUUUCAAAAUUGGAUUUGUUGGUAGGGAGUUUAGUCCAUUUAUAAGAGGAGAUUCUGACAAAAUUUUUUAAAAAUCUUGUCUAAAAUUGCAAAAUUGCCUCAAAAGAUUUCAAAAUUUUUCAAUUUUAUCCAAGGGUAACAAGUUCCAUACCAUUAGUUAUUCAAAUUCCUUCUACUUUUAAGAUAAAUAUAUGUGACUUGACAACUUCUUUUCUCAUUUAACUUGAAAAUGACUAUUAUGUGAGUAUAAUUUGUGUAUUUAUAGGAAAGUAUAUCUUGAAAAGUGGAGAAAAUUAUAUCUAAAUUUUAUAAAUUUGAUGAAAUUUCUUCUCUUUACUUGAUUUACAUAGUUCACUGAUUAAUAUGGUCAAUAAGUGCAAAACUCUUCUCAUGAUUAUUCUUUUGUAAGAAUGUUAUUAUUUUUCCUUUUGAAGAAAAAAAGAGAGAGAAAAAAAGAAAAAAAGGAAAAAGGAAAAUAAAAGUUCUUCUAUUUCAAUGGUUCUUGUACUUAGUAAUCGAAAGUUUUUAUCUACAAAUAUCGACUUUCGCGUAAAACGGCACUAGAAUUAAGAGUAUGCAAGACAACUUGAGGAUAUGAAGUGUUGGGUAACUGGCGAUCUUCAUCUAAAAUUAUCGAUUUUCGCGACAAAAGACACUUUCACAACUUGAAUAAUAUUUAGAUAUAUUAUAUGAAUAAAUCUUUUUUUGCAUGUGAAAAAUGUGAUGAUCAAAAUAUUAAUUAAGGCUCAAUUUGAAUCUAUUUGGAUCUAAAAGGAUAUGAUUUUUUUGGGUUUAGGAAGCAUUUUUAUUAACCAUAUAACUUACAUGCUUGUGAAAUUAGGAAAGGAUAAGAAAUUGAUUUGAAUUAGUUACAAUUAUGGCAUAAUUUGCUCUCCUUUACUUGAUAUUAUGAGUACUUGAACUUAAUUGAAUGAUUGCAUAAUGGUUAUUUACCUUGUUUUGAGGAAAUGAAGUUGAACUGUGUACAUAUGUUUAAUUUGAAAGUUUUGAAUCAUUGUGAUUAGUAAUUCUUAAUUGCUUGAGGACAAGCAAUGAUUUAAUAUGGGGGAGUUGAUAAGUGUGUAUUUUGAGUAUUUUAAGUGUAUUUUAUUAACUAGUUUUUGUGUAUUUUAAUUAGUUUUAUAACAAAUUAACUAAGUUUCUAGUGAAAAUAUAUAUUUUGUGAAUUAAGUAUCAAAAAAUUACAUUUCUAUGAAUUUUAAUGGUAAAAACUUCAUGUUUUUCUAGAUUCAAUGAUUCAAUCAUCAAUUGGAGUGACUUGAGAAGAUAUUUGGAUGAUUGUUGAUGAUUGGAAGUGAUUUAAAGAAGACAUGAAGUGCCAAACGUUCAAAAGAUGAAAUGCAAUCAAAAAUAAAAGGAAAGGAGUUUUCCAGUUUUGACACCUUGUAGUAUUUUGACUAUAUCUUGAGAUAUAAGCGUUGAAUUGAGGUGAUUCUUAAACCAUUUUGAAGUUAAGACAUUUGUUGUGAAGACUUCAAAGUCCAGUUUAGCUGUUUUCCUUGUCAAAAUAUCGAAAUACAGAAGUGCAUUUUCAUUAUCAAAAGCUAAAAUAAAGUUCUGACUAGUCAAGGGUAUUUUGAUCAUUUCUUAGUCCACAGAGCUCCAAAUUGAAUGAUUCUUAAGGAAUUGGAAAGCUAAUGCAAAGGACUACAACUUUCAUGUUUUGUAUAAGAGCUAGUUCAGCCUUCAUCAUCAAGAAAAUAUCUGUUGAAAUUGGACUAAAAACAGGGCAAAGAGAAGACUUGACCAGAAAUGAUCAAACCUGCAAAAGAGCAAAACGUGGGUACGAUACGCGACCUCAAGUUGCAUUUUCAAGGUUGCAUAUUCUUCAUUUGUGGGUGCAAUUUGCUCUACAACUUGUGCUUUGUUCACACAAGAUUUUUUUACUACUUUUUCUGCAAGAAUUUUGGCUGGAUAUGAGCUAAUAAGUAUGGAGACAUCAAGAAGCAACCUUUUGAUGAUUCCAAGAGCCAACUAGCACUAACCUUAACUUGAUUACUUGGAGCUUUAAUCCUCUAUAAAUAGAGGCCUUUGGGGAAUAUUUUCACAUCUUUGGGAAGGCUAGAGAAACUUCACAAAAAUGUAGUCUUCACUAGAAUUUUCUUAGUUCAUUAGUUAGAUUAAUAUAGUAUAGUUUGCGUAGUUUAUCCUUCUUGUAUUUGUAACUAAACUUGGAUGAAGAUUAAGGAGCAAGAUGGAGAGUUUGAUCUCAUAUGACAAGGGUGAUAUUUCAUGUACUACUUUCUCUUGUAUUUGAUUUCAUGUUUAGUUAUUAUACAAGUUUGGAUUUGUGUUUCAAUGUGUUUCUAAAGUUUAUACCUAGAGUUAUGGAUGAACUUGUUAUAUCUUGUUAGUGAUAUUUACAUGGUUAUUUGAUGAUAUUAUUUUGAAUAAGUUAUUUAUUACUUUUGCUUUUCUAAUCAUGAUUAACCGACCAUUAAUUGUGAUAAUUUUAAUGUGUUAAGUUUGCAAUGAGAAUUGGGAUUUAACACUAGUUCAAGGAAGUGAUAAAUCUAGGGAGUAUACUCACAAGAGUAGAGGUGCACCUAUGCGGUUUUAGUGACUUGUUUCAUGUAAUUUUAUAGAAAAAAUGAGUUUGUAGUUGAUUUCAUAACCACGAGAGCAGGUAUGAUUAAUUACAAAUAUAGUUGAUUCACUACGAGAGUAGGUUUCAUAUACAUUAGAAAAUUACGCCAUAACUAGCCAAGAUUAUAGUAUUCAUUUAACCAGUAAUUUCAUUAGUGAGAGUAGUUAGAAAUUCCAUACCUCUAGAAGCUUUAUAUUGUUAUUUUUAUUAUGUUUAUUUCAUGUUUGUAGUGCAGAUUUAAUCUUUUACAUUUGUGGUAAUCUAAAUAAUAAAGGAGUUCAAAAGCUAUCAGUAAUUGACAAUCUUCUCUGUGGUUUCGACCUUUAAUACCCUAUAUUCAAUCACGGCUCGUAUACUUGCGAAAAAUCGCGUGUGGAGUAUUUUGGAUGUUAUAAAUAUAAAACAUGAUUGUGGAUGAGUUAAUUGUUGUAUGUAUACCCCACACUCAUCACAUAUGUCUUUUGCCAACAAUGUCCUCCAAAUUUUAACUCUUGGGCUGAACAAUUAACUACUAUUAAGAGGUUGGUACGUCUUUUACCUUCUAAUUACAACUUUGUCAUACCAGAAAUAACAUCCCUUGAAACAGUAGCUAAACGUUGAGGGUUAUUUCUAGCAUUUUGGCUCAAAUUAUUCUCCUUUCCUUUUCAUUAUUUCUUGUUUCUUCAACUAUUCUUCCCUCAGUCGAAAAAGAGAAGCAGGUGAAUAGAUUUUGGAGAUAGUAGCCAAGAAACGGGUUUUCUACCUACUAUCUGUACUUCCACAAGAGAUAAAGAAAAGUACCAAUUGAACUUCUCCAACACUUGGUCAACAGUCUCUCUCUCUCUCUCUCUCUCUCUCUCUCUCUCUCUCUCUCUCUCUCCUAUUCUUUUGUUUCUCCUUCUUUUUCUUUCUGGUUUAUAGACAAAGAAAAGUAUCAGUUGAAUUCCUCCAGCACUUGGUCAACAAUUUGACGAUUUUCUUCCCUAAAUUGUGGUUGCUCAUCAGAUUUUGUGGUUUGUCCUUUUGUAUUCCUUUUUAUUCCCCAACCGUUGUCUUCCUCUUCCUUUCUCUCUUUUUCUCUAUUUUCCAUUCUUUUGUUUCCUCUUCCUUCUCUUUCUGGUUCAACCGAAGAAAAGUACUUGUUGAAUUCCUCCAGCACUUGGUCAACAAUUUGACAAUUUUCUUUCCUAAAUUAUGGCUACCCAUCCGAUUUUUUACUUCUAUACUCUUUAUCAUAUCCCAACUGUGGGAUUGUGGUUUGUCCUUUUGUAUUCAUUUUCAUUCCCCAGUUGGAAAAUUAUCAAGAGUGAAAGAAAAAUCUCUGACAACUUAUCAAGUUUGCAACUUUAUCUAUCUAUUGUGUUCAUGAUGGCUAAUACCAUUGCUAGGGAUAGAGGUUUGUCUUUUUGUUUUCCUUAUUGUUGACUAGUUGGCAAAUUAUCAAGAGUGAAAGAAAGUUUGUGUCUUUAUACAUUAGGAAACACAAAUACUGCUCACAAAAAACUACAUGCUUCUUCCACCUUCUCCUCUACAAUCUUUCCUGCUAAAGGUAAUUACUUCUUUUCUUUGUCGAUUUUGUCCCUACCAAUAUUAAAGAGAUUGAAUAAUCUAUAUACUUUUUAUUUUGGUUGUCAAAUUUCUUCAGGGGUUUAAUUGCACUUUGAAAGAAUUGCUGCAGAAGAGCUUUUGAUAUAGCGUUCACAGAUUUUCAUUAAGCAGUUGUUUCAAUUUUAGGUCACUCUCUUCAGUCCUUGAGUAUACGCUACAAUUUUGGUGCCUAAGUUUUGUUGUGUUUUAUGUGUUAGUUAUAGUUUUUCAGUUGUAAGUUCAUUUGGUUUCACUUAUCACUUAUCAACUAAAUCUUUUUUUUUUUUACAUUUUUUUCUUAUCAGUUGUAAGUUCAUAGGUUGUAAGUUUUGCUAUUUAGCUGUCGCGCCCAAUUUUUUGAAAAAUAAAAUUUAUGAUGUUGAAAAAAUGAGUUUUUGAUUUUAGAGAAUAUUGACAUAUUAAAAAUGUGUGUUUUUUAUUUUAGAAAAUAAAGAAAAAGGACCUAAAAUGAGACUUAAAAUGUGUGAUGGUUUGGGCCCAAAAUUUAGUCUAAAAAGGAUUUUUUUUAAAAAAAAUAGGAGUCGCUAGUUGGUAUUGAGUUUAGAUGUACCAAGUCACCCAAAAAAUAUAUAAAAAAUAGACAAAAUCCCUUUUAGACGACUCCAGAUCUUUGAAAACAAAAGAAAAAGGUUCGGGAGUUACGGCUAAAGAAAGGGAAGGCAAAGAUUUGAUAGACUCAAACCUAAGGCACUCUUUCAACCUAACCAAGAUUAGUUGUGAGAUUUAGUCAAAAAUUUUCCUAAUCUAACCUACAAAACUUAUUAAAUUAGGAUGUUUCUAUAUGGAUGUGAAUCUAGACCUAUGAAGUAUUAGGAGGGUCGAAAUAUUUCUUUAAAGUUUAAUUGGUGCAAAUCACAUUAAUUGUGAUGCCCAAAAAUGAUUCUUAGAAGUGGUCACGAAUAUGCAAUAGAUGAGACUCAAAAAAUAAAUUAUAAUAUAUAGAUAAAUAUACAUGAUCUAGAAAAGGGAAAUGCAAUAUAACACGUAUGGGAUGUUAAAAUUCGUAACUCAAAAUUUUCUUUUAUAGAGGGGACAAGAGCGUGUUAAGGUUAAGAAGCCACACUCGUUCAUUUCUCACAUUUGAAAGCUAACUCUCUUAACCUAAUCAAACAUAUGAAUUAACCUAUUUCUAAUUUACUAAAAUGAGAUGUAAUUCUAAAUAAUAUGAUCCAAACAUAUAGAGGGCAAGGGAAUAAUAAUAAAGAAAAUAUCAUGUAAAUGAAAAUAACCUAAAAAUAGAAAAAAUGUAUGAAACACGAGGUAUGAAUCUAACACAAAAACGGUCUAAAGGGUCUAGUAUUGGACUAACCCAUUUCUACAAAUCCUCACAAGUGUUGGACUAGUGAAAAAUCAUGGAGAAAGGUCACAACUAGCAUUGGACUAGUGUGGUGAAAUCAUGCAUUUAUUAUAAAUAAAUAAAGCAUAUAAAGCAUAAUUAAAACAAAUAAACACAUAAAACACAUAGAGCACAUAACACAUAGGCAUGAUAUCUAAAUGCAAAAUCCUAAAAAAAGCGAGUAAACAUAUAAGCACACAAGCGAAUAAAUGCACAUAAAAAUCCACACUAUUACAUUCGAGACCCUAACUACAAUCUAAGAGGGAAAUUUGAAAAAUAAUAAUCUAACUAUUACAUUCAUCUAACUAAUUACAUUUUGGCAAAAAUAUAACUUAUUUAUUACAUAACUUAGCUAAAUACAUUUUUUGGGCAUCUAUUUAUUAUAAUUUGGCAUUUAAAUGCCUCUCAAAUAAUUAUCAAAAUUAAAUAAAAUAAAUGAAAAUGAAAAUGAAUAAAAUGAGUAAAUAAAAAAAAGCACUUAAAACAUGCAAUUACACAUAAAAAACAUAUAGGAGCACAUAAAAGGAUUUAAAACAAUACUAGAAGAUACCUCCCUUGAAAUAGUGAUUAAAUGAGGUUGGAAUUGCCCUAUUGAUACUCCAAAAUCAACAAAAUGAUCAAGGCACCAAUUUAAUUAACAAAUAAAGAGAAUAAAAUGUAAACAUAUGAUAAAUUCAUUUUAUUAUUAUAAAUAAAUGGAAACAACCAUAAAAUCUACCAAUUAAAAGCAUUUAAAUGAAGUAUAAUUAACAAUUAAAGAAGAUAAACAAAUUAUAUUUAAGAUAUCAAAACUAUUAGGGACCUAAUUGUAAAAAUUCAAAAAAAAUUUUGGUCAAACUAAAUUAUUACAAAGAUUAGGGGUUAAAAUAAAAAAUAAAGUUUAGGGAUAAAAUUAUAAUUAAAUUAGAGACCUAAUUGCAAGAAUCUAAAGUUUUUAAGGCCACAGUAAAAUUAUUUAAAAGAUCAGGGGGUAAAUUACAAUUUUCCAUCAAAUUGGUUAGGGCUAGAAGUUUUUCCUUCUCCUUGGGCCGAAGACUCCCUUGGCCCGGCGAAAAUUUCAAAGAAAAAGCACAAGCCAGCCAAAUCUUUGACGCAACAAUCCCAACCAAAAAUGUUUGGUCUUUACCCUCCAACCCCAAGCCAUAACCCAAAGAAAAUAAACCAACAACUCAUUUGCCAAAUCCAACCAAAUAACAUUACCCAUUUCAUAAACCAUUUUCCCAAACCCAUAAAAGAAAAGAAUAAGCCCAUCUAGGAGAUUAAAUCCAACAAAAAUGUUUAUACCCUGAUUAUGUCCUAAAAUCUGGAAAUAAUCCACUCAAAAACAUGUAUAAAAUGUACAAAAGAGGAUCAAAACUUGAAGAGGGCAGAUUUGAUUCAUUUUCACAAACUUUUGGACCUUAGUGGAAUUAUGCAAAAGUUGGGGGGUAAAAAUGUAAUUUUGAAUUCUUCCAUGCAAGCUUGUUACUAUUGCAUAAGUGAUAAAAAAUGCAUGGACUCCUUGUUAACAAUUUUAUCACAUGCAUAAGUGUAAAAAUGCAUGGACUCCUCGGGGAAGAGUCUGCCGUAGAAAGAGCCAGGCAUUGCGGCUAUCAGGCACGAUCCUAUUUUGCGUCCGUUUUCUUUCUCAAGUUUGCGGUAGAAGCUUGGCAGCGACUUGAAAACCGAAUUGAAAUCAUUUUGGAAAAGAUCAUUCAGAAAAAUCUGAAUGGUGGGAGGUUCUAAUGCAUUCUUCUUUUCCUG